NNNNNNNNNNNNNNNNNNNNNNNNNNNNNNNNNNNNNNNNNNNNNNNNNNNNNNNNNNNNNNNNNNNNNNNNNNNNNNNNNNNNNNNNNNNNNNNNNNNNNNNNNNNNNNNNNNNNNNNNNNNNNNNNNNNNNNNNNNNNNNNNNNNNNNNNNNNNNNNNNNNNNNNNNNNNNNNNNNNNNNNNNNNNNNNNNNNNNNNNNNNNNNNNNNNNNNNNNNNNNNNNNNNNNNNNNNNNNNNNNNNNNNNNNNNNNNNNNNNNNNNNNNNNNNNNNNNNNNNNNNNNNNNNNNNNNNNNNNNNNNNNNNNNNNNNNNNNNNNNNNNNNNNNNNNNNNNNNNNNNNNNNNNNNNNNNNNNNNNNNNNNNNNNNNNNNNNNNNNNNNNNNNNNNNNNNNNNNNNNNNNNNNNNNNNNNNNNNNNNNNNNNNNNNNNNNNNNNNNNNNNNNNNNNNNNNNNNNNNNNNNNNNNNNNNNNNNNNNNNNNNNNNNNNNNNNNNNNNNNNNNNNNNNNNNNNNNNNNNNNNNNNNNNNNNNNNNNNNNNNNNNNNNNNNNNNNNNNNNNNNNNNNNNNNNNNNNNNNNNNNNNNNNNNNNNNNNNNNNNNNNNNNNNNNNNNNNNNNNNNNNNNNNNNNNNNNNNNNNNNNNNNNNNNNNNNNNNNNNNNNNNNNNNNNNNNNNNNNNNNNNNNNNNNNNNNNNNNNNNNNNNNNNNNNNNNNNNNNNNNNNNNNNNNNNNNNNNNNNNNNNNNNNNNNNNNNNNNNNNNNNNNNNNNNNNNNNNNNNNNNNNNNNNNNNNNNNNNNNNNNNNNNNNNNNNNNNNNNNNNNNNNNNNNNNNNNNNNNNNNNNNNNNNNNNNNNNNNNNNNNNNNNNNNNNNNNNNNNNNNNNNNNNNNNNNNNNNNNNNNNNNNNNNNNNNNNNNNNNNNNNNNNNNNNNNNNNNNNNNNNNNNNNNNNNNNNNNNNNNNNNNNNNNNNNNNNNNNNNNNNNNNNNNNNNNNNNNNNNNNNNNNNNNNNNNNNNNNNNNNNNNNNNNNNNNNNNNNNNNNNNNNNNNNNNNNNNNNNNNNNNNNNNNNNNNNNNNNNNNNNNNNNNNNNNNNNNNNNNNNCGAGUUUAUGAUGGACGGUCCUUUCAAGCCAUCUGUUCAAGAUUGUAGUCUUCUUUUGAGGUCCUUAUCGGCUGGUCCCAGUCCAGAUUUGGAUUUGGUGUUUCGGGUUUCGAGCAAGUAUGAAUCAACUGGGAAGUCUCUCUCGAAGGCUGUGUACGAUGGAAUCCACAGGUCGUUAACUAGUGUAGCGAGGUUUGAAGAAGCUGAAGAAAUCAUGAAGGCUAUGAGAGAUGCGGGUUAUGAGCCGGAUAACAUCACUUACAGCCAGCUCGUGUUUGGUCUUUGUAAAGCUAACAGGUUAGAAGAAGCGCGUGGAGUUGUAGAUCAAAUGGAAGCGCAAGGAUGCUUUCCGGACAUAAAAACAUGGACUAUUCUCAUCCAAGGGCACUGCAAGAACAACGAAGUUGAUAAGGCCUUUGCCUGUUUUGCGAAUAUGCUAGAGAAAGGGUUUGAUAUCGACUCUGAUCUGCUUGAUGUCUUGGUAGGUGGGUUUCUCAGCCAAAACAGGAUCGAGGGAGCUUGCAAAUUCCUAAUGGAGAUGGUGAGAAAUGCCAAUGUAAAGCCUUGGCAAACCACUUACAAGGCUCUUAUAGACAAGCUGCUCGAAAUCAAGAAGGGCGAUGAGGCGCUGGAUCUUCUAGAGUUGAUGAAGAAGCAAAAUUACCCUGCGUAUGCAGAGCCUUUUGAUGGAUACCUUGCAAAGUUUGGGACUUUGGAAGAUGCUAAGAAGUUCUUGGAUGUGCUAAGCUCAAAGGAUUCGCCUUCCUUUGCAGCCUAUUUUCAUCUUGUUGAAGCUUUCUACCGAGAAGGAAGACUCGCUGAUGCGAAAAACCUUGUCUUCAUAUCUCCCCAUCACUUUAAAACACACCCUAAAAUCACUGCACUCUUUGGCGCAGCUUGAAGUAAAACCUCAAACCCUCUCUGGGGUAAUAUUCUUUUUAUUCUCGAGUUAUGCCCAUUCCUAGAGUUAUUAUGAAGAUGUAGCUUCCACAAGUUAUGGAACUUCUUUUUUUUUUCACCUUAAAUGCAGUUAUUUUCAUAAUUUAUUUCACACCAUUUGUAAUAGAAGUGCUGAAUAUGGAUUUAUGGCCUCUUGACUGAUUGUCUUUUUUUCUCGUUUCACCAUCGAUGUGUUUUUGGCAAAACAUUUCGAAGAUGUGUGACGUUAUUGAAUCCCCGUAGUUUAUUCUUCGAUUGAGUCAGGACAAUUGCUAAGUACUAGAGAGCAAUUUCGAUGGUAGCUAUAUUUUCUUCCAUCUCUAUUGAGGAUAACAAAUAACUUCUAUAAUAGAGAUAUAAGUUUCUCUAAUGCAUUCUCUGACUUUUUAUUCUAAAAAAAUAUUUUUAAAAUUUUUAAUUAUUUUAUAAUUAACACUUUUUAUUUACAAUUGUUGAUAAUUAAUUUCAUACAUUAUAAUUUUGAAUUUUUUUUUCAUAAAACUGCAAUCUAUACUAUUAUUUAUGAAUUGAUUUAGCUUAUUUGUCAUGAUUUUCAUGAUUUUAGUUAAUUUUGCUUAUUUGUCAUGUUUUAAUUAGGUUUAAACUGAAUCUUUAAUUUAUUAAUAAUUUUUAGUUGACUCCAUAAUUAAUUAAUUUAAAUAAUAUAACUAUAAAAUAUGUAAUAAGAUAAAUAAUUAUUUUGAUUUUGCUUAUUUGUCAUGUUUUCCAUGAUUUUAGUCAAUUUUGCUUAUUUGUCAUGUUUUUAUUAGGUUUUAGUUUAGUCACUGAAUUAUUAAUAAUUUUUAGCUGAAUCACUAAUUUAUUAAUUUAAAAAUAUAUUCGAAUGAAUUUUAUAAAAUUAAAAACAAAUUUUGAUUUAAUAAUAUAUAAAUCUAUGUCUUAUAUUAAAAUUCGUAUUUUCUUAUUUGUCAUAUUUUAUUCGGUUUUAAGCUUUUAUAUAUGUCAUUGAUUUAUUAUUAGUUUUUAACUGAGUAUUUAUUAAUUUUCAUAAAACCCGUAAUAAAUUUUAUAUAUAAUGAAAUAUCAAUUUUAUUUUAAUAAUGUUAAAUUUAUAUGUUAUAUUAAAUAAUUAAAUUACAAAAUAAUAUAAUAAAAUUGUGAAAAUAUAUUUAAAAAUUAAGAGAAUUCUUAUAUAUAUUGUGUUNNNNNNNNNNNNNNNNNNNNNNNNNNNNNNNNNNNNNNNNNNNNNNNNNNNNNNNNNNNNNNNNNNNNNNNNNNNNNNNNNNNNNNNNNNNNNNNNNNNNNNNNNNNNNNNNNNNNNNNNNNNNNNNNNNNNNNNNNNNNNNNNNNNNNNNNNNNNNNNNNNNNNNNNNNNNNNNNNNNNNNNNNNNNNNNNNNNNNNNNNNNNNNNNNNNNNNNNNNNNNNNNNNNNNNNNNNNNNNNNNNNNNNNNNNNNNNNNNNNNNNNNNNNNNNNNNNNNNNNNNNNNNNNNNNNNNNNNNNNNNNNNNNNNNNNNNNNNNNNNNNNNNNNNNNNNNNNNNNNNNNNNNNNNNNNNNNNNNNNNNNNNNNNNNNNNNNNNNNNNNNNNNNNNNNNNNNNNNNNNNNNNNCCUUUGUUUGGCAAGCAGCUGUAAGUUUUCGAUGAAAUUAUUAAUACUGUCUUAGAAAAAUUCACGAUUUUGAUUCUUCCAACAAUUCAAAUCAAAAGAUCAAAAAAUCUUGACGUAGGAAGGAACUCUCAAUUCAAACAUUGAAUUUUUUUGGUAGCCACAGUUUGGGAAUAUGACAGCUUCUUCGUCGUUCCAAUCAAACCAGGAUGAAUCACUUAACUUAAUUAGAUUCGAGUUCACUCACAAAAAAAGUAUCUAGAUAUUUAGUAUAAAAAUAGAGAAUCUAUUCUCUUUUUUUUUUUUUUAAAAAAAAAAAAAAAAAAAAAAAAAGAAGAAAAUGGCUCAUUGCAUUUGCGCUAUGAACUUGGCUGACCAAACUUCAAAGUCAUACAUAACAGUCAACUAACGGAAGGAUACUCAACGCCGUCAACGGACGGUUCUCACUUCUCAGGGAGGGAAGACAAAGUACGAUUCCGAUCGUUGAACUCCCAAAGCUCGUCACGAGCUUUCAAAGUCCAAGAUUAACUGCGUCACGCGUGACGUCAUCAGCCCCAGCGCUCUUAUAUAACAACACUGGUCCAUCUACUCAGAUCGCCAGCUCGUAUCAAUGGCGAACCGAUCAGAGGAAACAGAGCACGACGCCGUUUCGAGGCGAAGUAACCAAGGAGGAAUGAUCUUAGAUCUAAUGUUGAAAAUACCUAUACGGUGGCUAAGAAUGCUCGUCGAAGAGCUUCACUGGAGCUUCUUCUUCGGCGUGAUCGUCGUCUACGGCGUAAGCCAAGGGCUGGGCAAAGGUCUCAGCAAAGUCAGCACGCAGUACUACUUCAAAGACGAGCAGAUGAUACAGCCUUCUGAAGCUCAGGUCUACGUUGGUUUGAUUCAGGUUCCUUGGAUCAUUAAACCGGUUUGGGGUCUGUUGACCGAUGUUGUACCGGUUCUUGGUUACAGGAGACGACCUUAUUUCAUAUUCGCUGGUAAGAUGUCACUGACUAAGCUCAAAAGUUAGUUUCUUUGGUUACUAAUAAAGGAAAGGUUACAUCUUUGUUUCUCUGUUUGAUAGGUGUUCUUAGCUUAAAGGUUGUUUCUUUGGUUCUUUAAUAAAGGAAAGAUUAAAUCUUUGUUUCUAUGUUUGAUAGGUGUUCUUAGCUUAAAGGUUGUUUCUUUGGUUACUAAUAAAGGAAAGAUUACAUCUUUUUUUUUUUUUACUUGGUAGGUGUUCUUAGUAUGGUGUCUAUGAUGGUGUUAUCUCUGCAUAAGAAUCUGCAACUUGGACUUGCGUUGUCCUGUCUUGUGGCGGGAAGUGCUGGAGUUGCUAUAGCUGAUGUGACUAUUGAUGCUUGUGUGACACAGCUUAGCAUUAGCCAUCCUACGCUUGCUGCAGAUAUGCAGAGUUUGUGUGGUAUGAGUUCUUCUAUUGGAUCCUUGGUUGGUUUCUCCCUUAGUGGCGUUUUGGUUCACUUGUUUGGGUCCAAGGUAAGGCUCUUUCAAGCUCUCUUUUAAGAAUCUAAAUUUUUUAAAGUGUUGUUCACCCAUUUGGUUCUGUUCCUUGGCAGGGUGUGUAUGGUUUACUUGGAAUGACUGCAGGAUUGAUUGUUGUGGUUGGGUUGAUUUUGAAAGAAUCUCCUUCUCGUAGUCCAGGUGGCAAGCAUGUACGUUUUUUUUUGCUAUCCUUAUAGACCAAAGGUGUGGUUGCUUCAUGUAUGUUUAUUUAAUAGACUGACUUUGUGUUCAGGUGAAUGAGAAGUUUAUAGAUGCCGGAAGUGCAAUAUGGAAAACCUUUCAGUAUGGGGAGGUGUGGCGCCCAUGCUUGUUCAUGUUGUUGUCAGCUGCAGUGAGCUUGCACAUUCAUGAAGGCAUGUUCUAUUGGUACACUGAUUCAAAGGAUGGGCCUUCCUUCUCUAAGGUGCUUUGACUUUGUUCAUGGAACUCUCAUCUCUUAGUUAAUGUCUGUGCCUUAAUGUUGUUAUUUUGUUUUCCUUAGGAAGCAGUUGGAUCCAUUAUGUCUUUCGGUGCAAUCGGCUCACUCGUGGGGAUACUUCUUUAUCAGAACUUCCUGAAGAACUUCCCUUUCAGGAAUGUAGUUUUCUGGGCACUUUCCCUAUCUGUCCUGUCAGGGUUUCUGGACUUGAUCCUGGUGCUGCGGAUAAAUCUGAAGCUAGGUGUUCCUGAUUACUUCUUCAUUGUGGUAGAUGAGUUUGUUUCUCACAUGAUCAGUAGAAUCAAGUGGCUACCCUUACUCGUUCUUAGUUCCAAGCUCUGCCCUGCUGGUAUGGAAGGCACGUUCUUUGCUCUGCUCAUGUCUAUUGAACAUGUAGGACACCUGUUGUCUUCAUGGGGAGGAGGAGUGUUGCUACACGCCUUGAAAGUUACACGUACUCAGUUUGAUAAUCUCUGGUUGGUUAUUGUGAUCAGGAGUUUAUUGAGGGUAGUUCCAAUUGGUUUGGUCUUUUUGAUACCAAACGUUGAUCCCAGCUCAACGAUUCUUCCACCUGAUAUGUUAAUGAACAGAAGAAGUGAAGAUGUGGUCGAAACUGACAAGAUAGAGAUGACUGCUCUGUUAACCAAUGAAGCUUGAUCCAGAUUCUUAGACAAACCUACCAAGUGGAUUCCCUUAGAUGUAUUUGUUUGUUCAUUGUAUGUUCAUCUGUUUUAGAUAAUUUUUCUUAUAAGAGCAUUGUUUCUUACAGUUGCUAUACCGAUACAGACACACAUAUAUAUAUGACUGACUAGUUGAAGAAUUCAAAUUGGCUUUGCCAAAAGAGAUGAUUGGCUUUCAUGAUAUGAGAAGGGAACACACAGUCAUCAGAUACUGCAGUUUUCUCCUGCAAUGCCAAGCUUCUCUUGUUUGGUAUCAUACAUGACUCUCUGGUUCUUCUGCUGGUAGUUUCCGAUGAUACCGACUUCGUUUUCAUAUGACAGACUUGCCAAGGCCAAGCAGACCAGAGAUGCGUCAGGAUUGACAUAGUAGAACACACCAGUGACAUCCACUUCUAGCUCAGCGUUACCUUGGAAGAUCAUUUUGAUAGUGGGAAUGCUAACAUCUUUAUAGCUUGUGAGGUUAAAGCAAGUGUCUAAGAUUGAAUAGCCAGGAGCUGAAGGAAACCCUGUAAACUGUUUCAGAAACUCUGUCUUCACAGCUUUGUAAAUAGAAGGUGGCAGUCUAGUGAUAACCGUUCCUGAAUCGAUUAUUAUCCCUCUUCCAAAGCUUGGAGAUUCAAGCUCCACACCACCAAUGGUGGCACCGGUGAGAUUCAGAAUGUAAAAGGAACGAAGCUGAGGGUUUUGUACUAAGGGAGUGUAGGAAACUGAAGUUGAGUUCUUGUAGUCACCGAAAGACAAUGAGCCAGAAGCUCCAUCCUCUAGAGAAGGUAAACAAUAUGAGAAAACUCCGUUGAAAGUUUUCAUGGUUUGAUAGACUAAAGAAACUGAGCUUCUUCCUAAACCCAUUAGGCCAGAAGCUCCUCCAAAGAGACCUUUGUUGCUUCUGCCACAACCAAAGACAAAGUUUUCCACUUUCGUGACGCCUAACUGGAUACUCUCACUUCCCAAUUCUCCUCUAGUGUAUGAACCAUCCCCAUAGCUGACGACGUAGUCACAACUUGUCUUUUCACCACCAUUGCUGCCUCCACAACGGUCUGGGUUACUGGUAGCUGCUACAAGGUCUUGACAAGUGGAUGAGUUGCAGAGAACUGUCUUGUAGGAAGAUGAGACUGAUGGGUCAUACAAAGGACCUUGUUGGUUGUAACAUGACUUGCAAGGCUGGCAUUGGACCCAAGUCAAGUCACUCCCAGUGUCAACUAUCAAAGUCAUGUUUUUACCUCCUAGUUCAACUGUGAUGAUGUAGUUCAGUGUCUCAAGUUUCACCCCUGAGGUUAGUGGAAGCUGAGUUUCUGAAAUGGAGUCUGUUGUGGUUGAGCUCAUGGCUUUGAUUCUGAGUUGAAGUGAUUGGACUCGAAGGUUGUCAAGAGCUAAGGCUCUUCUCAGCUUCUUACCCCAAUCUAUAGUCUUUCCUGAGCAAAGUCCCCUAUGUUUCAUCCCCAGUGUAGUGGAUGAUGAUUCUCUUCCUUUUGCUAAGUUCUCAAAACAAAACCAUCAGUUUCUUCUAUAUAUAAAUACUAGCAUGGACAGAGUAAAGAGUCAACAAGAGGAUAUCGAAAACAGAGUUUCAAGAGGCAAUAGAAGCAAAAGAAACAAACAGUUAUGUUAGAUGAGUUGGAGGAAAGAAUCUCAAGAUUCCAUAAAUACUUUGUAAAGCUUUAGAAAAAACAGCUAUAGCAUAUAGUAUUAGUUACAAAAGGGAGCUACAAAAGUAAUGGCUUUAGUUAAAUGUUUUAAACAAAGUUUUAGGCUUUUGCUAAGCUAAACCCAUAAAUCACGCCAUUAAUAAUAUUAAACUUAAAGCAAAGAAACAGUGUAUAUCUAUAUAUCUUUCUCUAUGGUUGGUGAACGUUCGAGACGGAAACAAAAAAAACUCACCAAGAUUGUGAGAGAGACAUGAACUGGAAGGUUCGUUUGAUUUGGUGAGAGACCAAAUGUUGUUGUGUACACUGAGAAUCUUUUUCUCUUGGACGCCAUGAACAACUACAGCAGACAACGUAAGAAGAUAAAGAAGAAGAAGAAGGAAAGGAGAAAGUGAGAGAUUCAAUGGCAGAAAAGUUGCUUUCUUCGACAUUUUCGUAAAGGAGGAUUCUCUCUUUGCAGAGAGAAAAUAAGAGGAGAGAGAGAGAGGAGCAGGAAUAGAGAGAUUCUUGGGAAGUUUGGAGGUAGUGAAGAGAACAAAAGAGGGAGGGCUGGCGAGAAGUGGCAAAGGACCAAAAAUAAAAAGAGAGUUAGGACCCCACUUUGUGCAUGAGAAAAUUAUUGGGGAUUCACGUGAAUUACUGCUAUUUUAUUACCUAACUAUCACCAAUUUUUUUUUACAGUGUAUGGGCGGUGGUGCUACUUUUGUUAGCUCCUACAAUGUUGGGCGCUAGCUAGUGCAAGCUGAGGAUUUUCAUAUUCUCAAUGUUUUGACCUUAAUGUUAAUAAUAACUUAUCCACCAACCAUCCAUAUUCUUAUAUACAGAAUGUGAGGCUAUGACACCCUCAGUCGAUCCAAGAUUAUUAUGUGUUUUCGACCAGCUUUUAUUUACUCCCUAUAGUAAAUCAAUUCUUUAAAUUGUUUACCUAAAUAAUCUUAUUUUAUACUCCAUUUCAAAAAAAUACAAAAACCUUAGUUAAAGGUGUUAAGUGUAGGUCUACUGAUUCCCAGGUCGUCACACCCUUUGUUCGCGCUAGUAAGUCGGUCAUGGUAGAACAUUGUUUUUUUUUUGUAAACUAAUGGUAAAACAUUGUUUUCAUAAUGAAAACUAUACUAUAAACACUAAUUAAGGUCAUUGCCAACUGAUAUGACAAUGAAUGCAUGCGUUGUUUUCAUCGUAACAUACGCUUCUGAUUGGUACUAAACAAAUUUAAAAAAAACAGAAGAAAAGACCACUCAACCUCACUGCGAAAGGGAAUCUAAUUGUAGUGAUAGUAACUAUUGACGGAGCCUGGAGGCUGAAUAGCUAUGAGUAUGUCUUGGACUCUGCAAACUUCUAUAUUAUAAUUAAGCCACUUGAUUGCUAAUGUUUACUAAUCUCUUUACUAGAUAAUAUUACGAUCGAGAAUUGAGAGAGAAGAUGGAGAAGAUAAGAGAAAGAGUUUGUUAAGAAAUGUAGAUAUUUCUCAUUAGUCUCAACGGUCAACUUUACAAAUGUAUAUAUACAAGUAUUCUCCUAAACCAAACUAAACCAAUUCUCAAUAAUUAGAAUGAACCAGCGAAAGGAAACCGGUUUAACUAGUAUUAGUCUCCAAUAGUCCCCCUCAAGAUGAACUGUGUAUAUCAAUCAUGCUCAUCUUAGACAUAAGAUGUUGAAAUUGAUGAGGAAAUAAUGGUUUAGUUAGGAUAUCCGCGACCUGAUCUAUCGUACGAACAUGAAGAGUGCGGAGAAGACCUUUAUCAAGCUUCUCACGAACUGUAUGACAAUCAAGCUCGAUAUGUUUCGUUCGUUCGUGGAAGACUGGAUUAAUGGCAAUGUAUAGAGCAGCAGUACUGUCAGAGUAGAGCACUGGAAUAGGAAGACGAAAGAUGCGCAAGUCACGAAGUAAUUGACACAACCACAUCAUUUCACAAGUGGCCAAUGCCAAUGCUCUGUAUUCAGCUUCAGCUGAGGACCGUGAGACUGUAGGUUGCUUCUUCGAUCGCCAUGAGAUCAAGGAAGAACCAAUGAACAUUGUAAACCCAGUAGUUGAGCGACGACUAUCUUGACAAGAAGCCCAAUCUGCAUCCGCAAAACCCUUAAGAGUGAGAUCAUCUUCAGCAGAAUAGAACAAUCCACGACCAACAGUUCCCUUUAUAUAUUCCAGAACUCUGUAAACAGCAUGAAGAUGAGGAAGACGCGGAGCAGAUGAGUAUUGACAAAGCUUAUUAACAGCAAAAGUGAUGUCCGGGCGUGUGAUGGUGAGAUACAUCAAACGUCCAACAAGUCGUCGAUACCGUUCUGGAGUCUCAAGAAGGUCACCUUCUGUCUUUGAGAGUUUGAUAUUAGCCACCAUUGGAACAGAAGAUGGACGACAAGCCAACAUGUCUUCAGAUGUUAAGAGAUCCAAAGCAUAUUUUCGUUGACACAGAGAAAUACCAGCUUCACUUCGAGCUAUCUCCAAUCCCAAGAAAUAUUUUAAUACUCCAAGGUCUCGAAGCUUGAAGCACUUCUUAAGAUCACUCGUUAAUCGCAGAGCUUCAUCAUUACUUGUACUAGCAAUGAUUAUAUCAUCAACAUAUACUAGCACAACGACAAACUCAUCAUGAAGACUCUUGACAAACAGAGUGUGAUCUCCAUGACAUUGCUGAAAUCCCAUCAUCAGCAACGAGUCAGAAAACUUAUGAAACCAUUGACGUGAAGCUUGUUUCAAACCGUAAAUGGAUUUCCUAAGUCGCAAGGCAGCAUUUUGUGGGAUUGAGCCCCCUUCUUCGUUAGUCUAUCUGCAUAACCAUCUGGUAACUUCAUAUAGAUCUCUUCAUCAAGCUCACCAUUGAGGAAUGCAUUAGAGAUAUCCAGUUGAUGCAAAACCCAACGUUUUGAAGCUGAAAUUUUCAACAAAAGCUUGAUUGUAACCAUCUUUGCGACUGGUGAAAAUGUCUCAUUGAAAUCCAAACCCUCCUUCUGUGUAUAACCCUUUGCCACAAGACGAACCUUCCUUCUAUCAAGAGUUCCAUCAGCAUUAAACUUCAGAGAAUAGAUAAGUCUGCAACCCACUGUUUUCUUCCCUUUCGGUAAACUAGUAACAUCCCAAGUGUGAGUAUAUUCCAUAGCACCAAACUCCAGAUCAACAGCAUCACACCACUCUUUAUCUUUCUGAGCCUGGCUCUGAUACCAUAUUACGAUCGAGGAUUGAGAGAGAAGAUGGAGAAGAUAAGAGAAAGAGUUUGUUAAGAAAUGUAGAUAUUUCUCAUUAGUUUCAACGGUCAACUUUACAAAUGUAUAUAUACAAGUAUUCUCCUAAACCAAACUAAACCAAUUCUCAAUAAUUAGAAUGAACCAGCGAAAGGAAACCGGUUCAACUAGUAUUAGUCUCCAAUAGAUAAAAACAAAAUGAUUAAUCAUGCUUCUGAAUUGAAAGGAGACAUACCUUGUGAUCGCGUACGGUUUUAUUCUAAGCAGAGCACGUUGGUACAUGAUUCGCGUUUGCUCUGUGUUUGCCCACUCAAGUGUAAUUCCAGAAUACUGAAUAGUAGUACUUAGUAAAAAAGUCCUAAUAAAGGUCAUCGAUUAGUCCUAAUUAAAAUUCCAAAGAAACUAUUAACAUACCACAAAAGAAAGUUAAAUUAAUCUAAGGUUGGAUCCAGCUUAACAUCGAUCAGGCAGCGACUUUCAUUAAGACAUCUAUCUGAUUAAUCCAACCAAAUCAUUUGCUUUAUUUUAACAAAACUUGAAUUAACUAACGAUUCGUGGUCCGUUCGUUUCUCUCCAUCUAACGGUUAAGAUGAGCGAGCGUAUAUUACAUUAACAUACACCUCGUCUCACUGAAUCAUACCAUUAAUGUUUUUCGGUUUCAUGUUUUACCCCUUUUAACGGCGAAUCUACGUGUGCGCGAAAGCUGAAACCUUUCACGGGGAAAUCAAUCUAUAGAGACAACGAGACGGGAUUACGAAUGAUAGAUCCGCAAUCAGACAAGAACCCUCCACUCCUCCUUGUCUGAUUCCCAAACUGCGAAACCCUUUUUUUAUGAAAAAAGAUUAGAUUUUUAGGUGAAAAUAAUGGAAUCGGAGCUUAAGGAUAUGAAUUCGAAUCCACCGACGAGCAAGGAGGAGCGCCCAUUGCUCAAAUCGGAUUCCGAUGUCUCCGCCGCCAUUGAAGAGCUCGACAAAAAGUUCGCGCCUUACGCGAGGACGGACUUGUACGGGACGAUGGGGUUGGGUCCUUUUCCGGCGGCGGAGAAAGUCAAGCUCGCGGUGGCGAUGGCGACGCUUGUGCCCGUUCGGUUUGUUCUGGCGAUGACGAUCUUGCUUCUGUAUUACUUGAUAUGCAGGGUGUUUACUCUGUUCUCGUCUCCGCAUCGUGAAGAAGAGGAGGAAGAGGAAGUUGUUCAGGAAGAUUAUGCUCACAUGGGAGGGUGGAGACGGAGUGUGAUCGUGCGGUGUGGGAGGUUUCUCUCGAGGGUUUUGCUUUUCGUGUUUGGGUUUUAUUGGAUUCCUGAGAGACGUCCGGAUCCUGAAACCAUUUGUUCUGAGGUAUAAGCUGAGUUUCAUUAACUUAUAGUGUGUGAGGAGCUUGUAGGUGUUGAUAGGGAACCUUAAAGUGUCAGACUUUUUUGUCGGCAGGGGACAUUUGAGGUAUAGGUUGUUGUACAAUUCAUUAGGAUGGUCCUUAUUUGAGGUAUAAGCCAAGUUUCAUCACGUGUGUGUGAAAGAACUUGUAGCCUUGUAGGUGUGGAUAGGGAACCUUAAAAGUGUCAGACUUUGUUGUAAGAAGAUUCAUUUAUUUGGUGGGAUUCUAGAGUGUACUGACAAUGUUGGCUCAAAGGAGGAGUUUUUGUUGUUGUACAAUUUAUAUAGUAUCUGGGGACCUCUUUUUUGCUGUAAUUGGUUCAAGGUUUUGUUUUUUUUUCCUACAGGAAGGGGAAACCGAUAAGGAGGAAUCUGAAAGACCUGGGGUCAUUGUGUCUAAUCACGUUUCGUACCUGGACAUUUUGUAUCAUAUGUCUGCUUCUUUCCCAAGUUUUGUCGCCAAGGUUAGUUGAUAGAUAUGUGCUAUAUAGCAGUUCUGUUACGUUACUUUCUGAAGUUCACACUUUGAGUUAUCUUUUUGUGGAAAUGACAAGUAUAUUUAUUUUUCUGUGAUUUUUUUGGUGCUGAAGAGAUCAGUGGGCAAACUUCCUCUUGUUGGCCUCAUCAGGUUAUUUGUGAAUGACUUCAUCUAAAGUUCUUAAAAGACUCUUUUGCAUUUCAUCACUGUAUUGUUUCUGUUAUUCGUUUGUAUCCAUCAUCUCAAACUUGGCUAUACUGUCUUUUCUUGGCAGCAAAUGUCUUGGUUGCGUCUAUGUUCAGCGAGAAGCUAAAUCUCCUGAUUUCAAGGGUGUAUCUGGUAUGUGAUUGUUGCUUCUUUAGCGAGUGUGUGCUUUUUCUUGCUUCCUUAUUCAACACUCUCUGAAACUCAUGAGCUAAUGCUGCUCAAAAUAGUCUUCAUACUGUGUAACUAACUGAUGUUUUUAUCUUUACAGGCACAGUGAAUGAAAGAGUUAGAGAAGCUCAUAGGAACAAAUCUGCUCCAACUAUUAUGCUUUUUCCAGGUUCAUUAUUUGCUCCUCUAUACUGCUUUAUCAACCUACCCAUCGUUUCUCCCCUAACACAGUGAUUUGGUCUCACUGCAGAAGGAACAACUACCAAUGGAGACUACUUGCUUCAAUUCAAGACAGGUGCAUUUCUUGCCGGAACUCCGGUUCUUCCUGUUAUUUUAAAAUAUCCGUACGAGCGUUUCAGUGUGGCAUGGGAUACAAUCUCCGGGGUGAGUAUAUUUCUAUAUAACAAAACUCUCAGGUUUCCUCAGAAGCUUUGGCGUUGAAGUAAGAUCACCCUUUCUUGUUUUUUUUCCAGGCACGCCACAUUAUCUUCCUUCUCUGCCAACUCGUAAACCAUUUGGAGGUGAUACGGUUACCUGUAUACUACCCUUCACAAGAAGAGAAAGAUAAUCCCAAACUGUACGCUAGCAAUGUCCGGAGAUUAAUGGCCACUGAGGUAAGUAAAACUAGAGAGACAUGUUAUAUAUAUAUACUUUUGGUCUUGUAUGUUAGUGUUUACUCACUCUUGUUGCUUGCAGGGUAACUUGAUUCUGUCGGAUUUGGGACUUGGAGACAAGAGGAUAUAUCACGCGACCCUCAAUGGUAAUCUCAGACAACUCCGUGUUUUCCAUCAGAAAGAAGAAUGAAAAUUUUUUUACUGGCUUGACAGUGUCUGUAACGUAGUAGUCAUUUUACCAAGAAACAAAACCAAGAUUGUGAUUUGAAUAAUGAAAACACAACUCGAGCUUUCUCUCAUUGUCUUUUGGUAACUACAUUAAUUGUGUUAUUGUGAGUUUUUUUUUUCAAAUAAAUCAGUAAAAGAAGCUGUGAUGGCUGGGAUGGACAUGUAAAAUACUGAAGCAAUGUCUUUCGUGUUGGUGCAGGUUUGUUUUGCAAAAGCUAAUAUGAUGGACUCUCGAUAUUCGUGGUCCGUAGAUUUCAUUUAUUCAUAGGACAAAAGGAUUACACUUUUAACACCACUUUAGUCAUAUACACAAAACAUGUCUAUCUGUAAAUGAUCUUAUCUCAUUUCUAAACUUUGUAUUUUUGUUCUCUCUAUCUCCUGAUGAAGCAACUUUAGACAUACAGAGAUAAAAACAAAAUGAUUAAUCAUGCUUCUGAAUUGAAAGGAGACAUACCUUGUGAUCGCGUACGGUUUUAUUCUAAGCAGAGCACGUUGGUACAUGAUUCGCGUUUGCUCUGUGUUUGCCCACUCAAGUGUAAUUCCAGAAUACUGAAUAGUAGUACUUAGUAAAAAAGUCCUAAUAAAGGUCAUCGAUUAGUCCUAAUUAAAAUUCCAAAGAAACUAUUAACAUACCACAAAAGAAAGUUAAAUUAAUCUAAGGUUGGAUCCAGCUUAACAUCGAUCAGGCAGCGACUUUCAUUAAGACAUCUAUCUGAUUAAUCCAACCAAAUCAUUUGCUUUAUUUUAACAAAACUUGAAUUAACUAACGAUUCGUGGUCCGUUCGUUUCUCUCCAUCUAACGGUUAAGAUGAGCGAGCGUAUAUUACAUUAACAUACACCUCGUCUCACUGAAUCAUACCAUUAAUGUUUUUCGGUUUCAUGUUUUACCCCUUUUAACGGCGAAUCUACGUGUGCGCGAAAGCUGAAACCUUUCACGGGGAAAUCAAUCUAUAGAGACAACGAGACGGGAUUACGAAUGAUAGAUCCGCAAUCAGACAAGAACCCUCCACUCCUCCUUGUCUGAUUCCCAAACUGCGAAACCCUUUUUUUAUGAAAAAAGAUUAGAUUUUUAGGUGAAAAUAAUGGAAUCGGAGCUUAAGGAUAUGAAUUCGAAUCCACCGACGAGCAAGGAGGAGCGCCCAUUGCUCAAAUCGGAUUCCGAUGUCUCCGCCGCCAUUGAAGAGCUCGACAAAAAGUUCGCGCCUUACGCGAGGACGGACUUGUACGGGACGAUGGGGUUGGGUCCUUUUCCGGCGGCGGAGAAAGUCAAGCUCGCGGUGGCGAUGGCGACGCUUGUGCCCGUUCGGUUUGUUCUGGCGAUGACGAUCUUGCUUCUGUAUUACUUGAUAUGCAGGGUGUUUACUCUGUUCUCGUCUCCGCAUCGUGAAGAAGAGGAGGAAGAGGAAGUUGUUCAGGAAGAUUAUGCUCACAUGGGAGGGUGGAGACGGAGUGUGAUCGUGCGGUGUGGGAGGUUUCUCUCGAGGGUUUUGCUUUUCGUGUUUGGGUUUUAUUGGAUUCCUGAGAGACGUCCGGAUCCUGAAACCAUUUGUUCUGAGGUAUAAGCUGAGUUUCAUUAACUUAUAGUGUGUGAGGAGCUUGUAGGUGUUGAUAGGGAACCUUAAAGUGUCAGACUUUUUUGUCGGCAGGGGACAUUUGAGGUAUAGGUUGUUGUACAAUUCAUUAGGAUGGUCCUUAUUUGAGGUAUAAGCCAAGUUUCAUCACGUGUGUGUGAAAGAACUUGUAGCCUUGUAGGUGUGGAUAGGGAACCUUAAAAGUGUCAGACUUUGUUGUAAGAAGAUUCAUUUAUUUGGUGGGAUUCUAGAGUGUACUGACAAUGUUGGCUCAAAGGAGGAGUUUUUGUUGUUGUACAAUUUAUAUAGUAUCUGGGGACCUCUUUUUUGCUGUAAUUGGUUCAAGGUUUUGUUUUUUUUUCCUACAGGAAGGGGAAACCGAUAAGGAGGAAUCUGAAAGACCUGGGGUCAUUGUGUCUAAUCACGUUUCGUACCUGGACAUUUUGUAUCAUAUGUCUGCUUCUUUCCCAAGUUUUGUCGCCAAGGUUAGUUGAUAGAUAUGUGCUAUAUAGCAGUUCUGUUACGUUACUUUUACUUCUGUUAAACUACUUUCUGAAGUUCACAUUUUUUUAAUUAUCUUCUUUUUCUGGCAAUGACAAUUGCAUUUGUUUUUGGUUAUGAAGAGAUCAGUGGGCAAACUUCCUCUUGUUGGCCUCAUCAGGUUAGUUGUGUUGUGAAUGAUGUUAUAGAAGUUUUUAAAAACAAUCUUUGUAGCUCAUCACAUUACCAAAAUGUCGUUCUUUCUAUUAUUACUUUGUAUCGAUCAUCUCAAACUUGUUCUUUCUUUUGCAGCAAGUGCCUUGGUUGCGUCUAUGUCCAGCGAGAAGCAAAAUCACCUGAUUUCAAGGGUGUAUCUGGUAUGUGAUUUUUGCUUCUUAACUGAUGUAUGCUUUAGUUUCUUAUGAGCCGAUAUUUAGAAAACUCAUGAGCUAUUUUCUUGCUUAAUAUCUAAUGCUGCUGGAAAUAGUCUUCAUACCAUGUAUUUAACCGCUGUUUAAUUAUAUUUACAGGCACAGUAAAUGAGAGAGUUAGAGAAGCUCAUAGGAAUAAAUCUGCUCCAACUAUUAUGCUUUUUCCAGGUUCAAUUUUUACUCCAUUAUACUGUUAUAUUAUCCAAGCCAUCAUUUUUCCUUAAAAAAAAACUUUGAUUUGGUCUCACUGCAGAAGGAACAACCACCAACGGAGACUACUUACUUACAUUCAAGACAGGUGCAUUUUUGGCAGGAACUCCUGUUCUUCCUGUUAUUUUAAAAUACCCGUACGAGCGUUUCAGUGCAGCAUGGGAUACAAUAUCCGGAGUGAGUAUCUCCUUUUUCAACAAACUCGCUUUUGUCUCGGAAGUUUUGGCCUUGAAAGUAAAAUCACCGUUUCUUGUUUAUCCAGGCACGUCACGUUCUCUUCCUUCUCUGUCAAUUCGUAAACCACUUGGAGGUGAUACGGUUACCUGUAUACUACCCUUCACAAGAAGAGAAAGAUAAUCCCAAACUAUAUGCUAGCAACGUCCGGAAACUAAUGGCCAGCGAGGUAUUUGCUUCUUGUAAAACUAGAGACAUGUAUGUGGUUUUGGGUUGUGUGUUGUUAUCGUUUACUAACUCCUGUCUCUGCACUUCUCGUGUUGCUUUGCAGGGUAACAUGAUACUGUCGGAUUUGGGACUUGGAGACAAAAGGAUAUAUCACGCGACCCUCAAUGGUAAUCUUAGUCAACUCCGUGUUUUCCAUCAGAAAGAAGAAUAACAGUGUCUGUAUUAUUACCAAGAAUAAAACCAUGACCCUGACUGAAUAAGGGAUCUGUGAUCAUAAUAAAAACAAAAGUUUGGUUACACAAAUUGAGCUUUCUUUCGGUGUCUUUUUGAACUAUGUGUAGUGAGUUUUGAAUAAAUCAGAAAAAAAGAAGCUGUGGCUGGGAUGGACAUAUGUAAAUCUGAAGCAAAUCUCUUUCGUGUUGGUGCAGGUUUGUUUUGCGAAAGCUAAUAUGAUGGACACUCGAAAAUUCGUGGUCCGUAGAUUUCAUUUAUUCAUAGGACACAAGGAUUACACUUUAACACCACACCAGUUAUAUAUAACACAAAACAUUUCUAUCUACAUUUGUUAUUCUUUUUUGCCUCUGUCAACUGCUGAUGCAAGUUUAGACAAACACAUACACACACGCCAGGUUCAAAUCUUGUAGAGAAGACUUAAGAGUACAUAUAAUGUUGUUGAUUCUUUAUUUGUUCUAACAGGAGGAAACAACAUAGUAGAGCUUAACCAGAUAAAUAGAUUGGUAGUAAAGCUUCUUCCUUCCUUACGUCUUAUGGACAAAUGAAUAAACAAACAGAGCAGAGCUAUUACCGGUAGAUGGGGACGUGCAUAUGAUAACUGAAAACAUACUAGUUAUGGUUCUUCUGCUACUUCUUCUUCGUCUUCUUGGUGUAUCAUGUUGACAAGCAUAUCAACUUGCUCUUUCAACAUUGUGUUCUCUCUUUCAAUCUCUGUUCUCUUGCUUCUCUCUUGUAGCAGCUGGAGUUGCAGAUGCUCUAAGCAGCGCGAGUCUUCUUCUAGCUGCUCGUUUAACCCAUCUAUCUCUCGAUCCUGUCCCACAAUCCUCUUUUAAUCAGAACAAAAUAGUCCAACAAGAAAAAAGAAACACACAACAACAGUCUUUUUUACCUUUCGGUUCAUUUCUUGGACAGCGAUUCUUCGCAUGCUCUCAACCACAUCAACAUUCACCAGCUUCCUCUUCUUACCGAUCAACCAGCCUUUAGGAUAGUUUGCAGACUCGAAAUCUGGCGGUGGCAAGAGGGGAUCAGCAUCUGUUGUUGGUCGCUUUCCGUUCAAGUUUGUGAUGGGUUCGAGUGGCUCAAACAGAGCUUUUCUUUUCUCGGACAGAACAGGAGGGGUUGUGGUGGUCAUUGGUUCCCCAGCUUUAUCGGUUUCCAUUGCUGUUGUUGUUGACUCAUCCUUCUCUGGUGUGACCUCCAUAGCAGUCUCCAGUGCUUUGUCUGAGUUCACAGAUGCUGCAAUCUAAGUUGUUAAUGCUAAUGCAUAUAUAAUGGGAUCAGACCAAAAUCAAAGCUAAAGCCUUUUGAUUCCGAGACUAAGAGAGAUGUGAGAAAACUAAGAAACAGAGGAGAGAGACACAGAGGAGAGAGAAAAGUACUUGAUCUUUUCCUUGACUUCCACGCGAUCUUGGUGGUAGAGACAGGGAAAAAACCGCCGACAAAACCAUCACCAACUGUCUUCUUCUUUUUCAUAUUGUCUCCCUCGAAUCCAGCUCCUUUCUCCAUUGUAAUCUGAAAAAGUUUCCUAGAAAUGAAAAAAGACACAAGAUUUGGAGAAAGAGAAGUUGAAGAAGCAGAAGAAGAAGAAGAUAGCGUACAAGAGAGAGGAGAGAGAGAAGGAGAGCUGUUGGAUUUCAGUUGAACGGUAAUGAUUUGGCGUUUCGAUUACGACUACGAAAGGCUUUUGCUUUGAUCUUCAGACUCCGUGUGUCAUGUUUUUUUUUUUAGAUAAGAAGCGGACAAUAGUUGUCUGAUCGUUUCUUCUGUGGGACCCUUCUUUCCCUCUUCUCAGAUUAUUUUUCAUGCAUCCUUUGAUUAAACCGUAAUUAACCAAAUUAAACCGUGAUUUUACAUUCCCCUUAUAAGAUCAAAUAGAGGUACUACCAUGUCGUCAUCUUUCGCAGUUAAUACACUAUUGUUAUUUUCUAUUUAAAUAUUUUAAACUUUACCUGGUGCAUUUUACGUUACGAUUGGGGAUUAAAUUACGUUAUUAAGAUUUUUAAAUUGAUUUAAUUAUAGGUAACGAGCACACGUCUAAUCCACAAAGUCUUCUCCCGGCAUAGUUCUUGCUUUAAUUCAAUUUAAUUAAACAUAAGCAUACAUAGGACAUGAUUACUCUCUACUGUCUAGUUUUCACAAUGGUCAAGGGAAUAUUUUAAUCAAUGAGACACGUUCAAAACUUUCGUCCUUUGAUUAUAAUUUGGUAAAACUGAAAUUUGGAAGUUGCAGAGGAGCAUAUGCCACGAACGAAGGCAUCUUUCUUGAAGUUAGUGACUUUCUUGAAAUGUGUGUCUUUAUUGUAAUUUACAAAUACAGUAUUUUGGAAUUAUAUUCUUAAUUGAGAUAAAAUGUAAUCAUGGGCUCACAUAUAUUAGGAUUCUUUUAUAUAAACAUCAUCUAAAAUUGGGCCUUAGCCCAUUCUUCGUAUCGACCUGACCGCCGAAUAAAGAUAUAUACACGUCGUGCCGUUUCCCGAAGAAAGGAGCGAAAAGCUUGGCGGGUAAGGAGCGGCGUAACUCCGAACAAAAACCAAAUCGAAGAGAUUUUAUUUGCCAGUUUCUCACUUUUGCUCGGCGAUUCAGAUCUUGGCGGCGACCUCGCAGUAGGGUUCUUGCUCCGAGGUUAGGGUUUUCUGUUAGAGUCGGGGGGAAAGGUUCGUACUUUAUCUGCAAUUCGCUGUUGAAUCCAUGGGUAGGCACGAUAGUUCAUCCGAGGAAGAGGAGAGAGCGAGAAGGAGAAGAAGAGACAGAAGCCCUGAUGUUAGGCGCUCGAGGACGGAGACCGAAGAGGUUGGUCGUCGUGUUAGGGUUUCUGAUGACGAUGACGACCAUAAGAGCUCGCGAAGAGAUCUCGAGAUUGGUCGUGUUGCAGAUGUGAAAGCAGAUAGCUCUUCUGAUGAGGAAUCAGCUCGGCUGUCUAGAAAGAAUCGUAGAGAAGUAGACUCUGAUUCUGAUGAUGGUCGUGAGAGGAGGGUGAGUAAAGGAAGAAGUAAGGGUAGAGUUAGAGCUGACACUUCUUCUGAUGAAGAAGAGGAGAAGCAUCUUUCAAAGGUUGCUGAAGAUGGACAAAAGAGUCGUAGGGGUUUGGACGAUGAAGGUGGUGAUUUGAAGGAUGAUUAUGAAAGCAGAGGAAGGAGGAGAAGCCCCAAAGGCAGGGAGAAGCAUGAUAGGGAGAGGGGUCAUAGGGGUAGUAGGGUCAUAGCUGAUAAGCCUUCUGAUGAUGAAGAUGAUGAUAGGCAAAAUAGCAGGAGAGGUGGGCGAGAAAGCGAGAGGAUGCGUAGAGAUCAUCAUGCAUCUGAUGACGAUGAGGAAGGUGAGAUUAGGAGCGGGAGAAGAGGGAAAGAGAGGACUGAUAGAGGUAAUGAAAGUCUCUUGAAGAGGGAUCGGAGAGAGAGAGACUGGUCUGAUGGGCAUCGUAGGGAUAGGUAUCGGAGGGACGAUGGAGGUAGAGAUGAUAAGGAGAGGCGACACAAUGAUAGAUAUGACGAUAGUCAAAGAGACAAGUUGAGAAAGGAAGACAGCAGGAAAAGGGAAGAGAAGAGUGAAGUUGCAAAGCCCAAGUUGCCAGAACUCAAUCCAUCUGAUAGCAAUGCUAUUGCUUUGGGAAAAACUGGCGGGGUUUAUAUUCCUCCGUUCAAGCUGGCACGCAUGAUGAAGGAGGUGGAAGACAAGAGCAGUGUAGAGUAUCAACGUCUUACAUGGGACGCUCUCCGUAAAAGUAUUAACGGGCUGGUGAACAAGGUUAAUGCAAGCAACAUCAAGAACAUAAUCCCUGAACUGUUUGCUGAAAACCUCAUCAGGGGAAGGGGACUUUUUUGCCGUUCGUGUAUGAAGUCUCAAAUGGCGUCCCCUGGAUUCACGGAUGUCUUUGCAGCUUUGGUCGCUGUAAUUAACGCCAAAUUUCCUGAAGUUGCUGAACUUCUACUGAAGAGGGUCGUGUUGCAGCUAAAGAGAGCGUAUAAGCGUAAUGACAAGGUUUGUCUUUUUUUUUUUUUGCUUUCCAAGUCUGUAAGUCUUGUCAAGCAUUUUGAUUUAUAUGUCAUAUUUAUGCAUUUGUGUGUUUUAUUUUUGUUUUGCCAGCCUCAGUUGCUCGCUGCCGUGAAAUUCAUAGCACAUCUAGUAAACCAGCAAGUCGCCGAGGAGCUCAUUGCACUUGAAUUAGUCAGUGUACUUCUGGAAGUCCCAACUGAUGACAGUGUCGAGGUGGCUGUUGGAUUUGUGACAGAGUGUGGUGCGAUGCUUCAGGACGUUACCCCAAAAGGAUUGCACGGUAAAGUUCCUUUCAACCUCUCUUUCUGUUUGUUAUAGUGAGAAAGAGUAGACUGUUUGUAUUUCCACCUAAUCCACCAACUUAUCUAACACGUCAGUAAUUAUUGACAUAUAGUCAGUCCACUUCAUCUCUUGGUGGAUGAUAACUUUGAAAUCUGGCUGUGUAUCUAAGCGAUUAACUUCACCCAUAUUUUCAUUGCAUAUAUAUGUUUUCUAUUUCCUCUGCUCUUCCCUUUUAUUCACGUUUCUAAGCUCUUCCAAUUGUGAAUACAGGGAUCUUUGAGCGGUUCCGUGGUAUUCUCCACGAGGGAGAUAUCGAUAAGAGAGUUCAGUAUUUGAUUGAAGGGCUCUUUGCUAUUAGGAAAGCGAAGUUUCAGGUAAAUAUAUUUUAGACAGAACUUUAUUGAAUUAUAUUCUUACAUUCUUGGUUGUUGUAGAGAUGAUGUUUUCACUGAUAGCAUAAUUCUCAUAAAUUGUGUGAAUGAUUUACUUUCAGGGACACCCGGCAGUUCGUCCGGAGCUAGAUCUUGUGGAAGAAAAAUAUUCGCAUGAUCUAUCUAUUGAUGACGAAGUAAAUCCUGAAACCUCUCUGGGUAAGUCUACCUCAUGGUUCGAGAGAAAUAGGUUACCUUUUUAUAUUUGUGGAACAUCUCUUAACUUAGAUUCUCUCUUAUUUUCUGUUUGCAGAUGUUUUCAAACCUGAUCCUGACUUCGUUGAGAACGAAAAGAAAUACGAGGCGCUGAAGAAGGAGUUACUUGGUGAGGAUGAGUCUGAGGAUGAAGAUGGCUCUGAUGCUAGUUCAGAUGAUAAUGAUGAGGAGGAAGAUGAGUCUGAUGAAGAAGAUGAAGAACAGAUGAGGAUAAGAGAUGAGACAGAGACCAAUCUUGUUAACCUUAGGAGGACAAUAUACUUGACCAUAAUGUCCAGCGUUGAUUUUGAGGAAGCAGGUCACAAGUUACUAAAAAUUAAACUUGAACCAGGUCAAGAGGUAACUCAUUCCGAACUCUGAUUAUCUCUACAUUCCACUGCUUUCAUAUGUUUGCUUUACUGUUUGAUAAACUAGUCCGCUUACAACAUUCUUAUCCAAUUUAAUGUUGCAGAUGGAACUAUGCAUAAUGCUCCUUGAGUGUUGCUCUCAGGAGAGAACAUAUCUGCGCUACUACGGUUUGCUGGGUCAGCGUUUCUGUAUGAUCAACAAAAUUCAUCAAGAGAAUUUUGAGAAAUGUUUUGUUCAGCAGUACUCCAUGAUCCACAGACUUGAGACGAACAAGCUGCGUAAUGUGGCUAAGUUUUUCGCCCAUUUACUGGGCACAGAUGCACUCCCCUGGCACGUGCUUGCCUACAUUCGGCUUACUGAGGAGGACACAACUUCAUCGUCCCGUAUCUUCAUUAAGAUCCUUUUCCAGGUAACUUGAAUCAACAAAACAUUCUGUGAAAUUCAUUUGACCAUUUCAGAGCUGUUUAUCUCAUUGGUUCGAUUGGAUUUGGGUCAUGUUAUUGCUUAAUUCAUUUGUAUAAUAUGAUUGCGUAGUGAGCUAUCUAAAACUGUGGAUAUGUUACUGCAGAAUUAGGAAUCUGCUAGGCAAAUUUGUUUGUGAGACUGUUGUGUUGAUUUGGUUACUACUUUGCAUUGGUUGCAGGAAUUGUCAGAACACUUGGGGAUUAAGCUGCUUAAUGAGAGGCUUCAGGAUCCAACAAUGCAGGAAUCACUUGAAUCAAUCUUCCCUAAAGAUAACCCAAAGAACACGAGGUUUGCGAUCAACUUCUUUACCUCAAUUGGUCUUGGAGGCAUCACAGAGAAUCUCAGAGAGUACCUGAAGAACAUGCCACGCCUCAUCAUGCAACAACAGAAGCAAGUUGCGGAAUCAGAAUCAGAAUCAUCGUCUGGCUCCGACAGUUCUAGUUCCGAGUCUGAAUCUGAGUCGUCUUCUUCUAGUUCGGAUGAAAGCGACAGAGAGAAGAAGAGGAAGCGAAGAAGAUCUUAAAGAGGCUGUUUUGUUUGUCAUUUGUACCAAAAUUCUUCAGAUUUUACAAAUCUUGUUUUGGCUACUCAACUUGAAUUUAGAUGAGAACUCAAAUUGAGCAGCCAUUUGGGUCUGUUCUUGCAUACGCUGGUGAUGAACAAGAGGCUAGACUAGCCAGACAAAUAAGGUUGUAAACUGAAAUGUUUUUGUAUUGUUUUUUUUGUUAUUACUGCUUUUAAGUUUAAAAGUCCCUAUUAUAAAAUUUUGAAUCUUGAUUCAACAACAUAUGAAAGUAAAGAAAACAGAGUUGAACUUAAUCACAACUUGAAACACCACCAACUUAUUAAACAUUUCCCUUGUCUCACAUUUUUUUGUUAAACCAGAUCUCUAACUCCAAGCACAAUAGUUAAAUGGUUUUCUUUAUUUGGGAAAAUCAAAAUAAAACUUGUAAACAAAUAAACAAAAAAAAGUAGGAAUGGAUAAUUGAUUUAUAAAAAAAACAGUAAAAAAGAAACUUACUAAACAAAAUAACAAAAAAGUAGGAAUGGAUAAACGUUUUUUUUAUCUAAUAGAUUUUGUAAAAAUAGUAAAAAAAAGGCCUUGGAAAUAGGGUAAUGGAUAAGGAUAAGGACAGUAAUAGAUGACGAGAAAACUAGUCACCGCUUCUCUCUCGGCUCUAUAUAUUUGUUCCCUGCCUCUACCUCUCUCCCUAUCCAGUCCACAAAUCCAUUUUUUUUAAUUUCACUUUAAUCCUUUAAAAAAAAAAGAAUUCAUAUUUGCUUUUCUAGAACUCAAAUUAUUCUCAAGAAACAUGACUAUUGCUUUAACCAUCGGAGGAAACGGGUUCUCGGGUCUGCCCGGAUCUUCGUUCUCCUCAGCUUCUUCAUCGCUUCGAUUGAAGAACAGCAGACGAAAGAACACGAAGAUGCUGAACAGGAAAGGAGUCGUCUGUUCUUCGUCUUCUGUAAUGGAUCCGUACAAGACCCUCAGGAUCCGACCAGAUUCGUCUGAAUACGAGGUCAAGCAAGCUUUCAGACAACUCGCCAAAAAGGUUUGACCUUUUUAUACCUUACCUCAAUCAGUUAGAUCUGUUAAAAGAUUCGUUUUUUCAUCGAUUUGGUUAUCUGGGUUUCUCAAAAAAAAAUUCUUUCUGAUCUGUUGUUGCAGUAUCACCCAGAUGUUUGUAGAGGAAGCAACUGUGGAGUGCAGUUUCAGACAGUCAACGAAGCUUACGAUGUAAGUGUCUUGUCUUUACGCAAACAUUCGGUUUAAAAAAGCCAAGUCAUUGUUGUAUUGAUCUUUGUUUUGUCUUUUUGAAGAUUGUGUUGAAGCAAAUAAAGAAUCAGAUGGAGGGAACAGAGGAGUUUCAGCCAUUCGAUGUCUACGACGAGGGAUUCAACGGAAUGAAUGAUCCAGAUUGUGACACGUGGGAGGAAUGGAUGGGGUGGGAAGGUGCAGGAACCAGAGACUACUCCUCUCACGUGAAUCCUUACGCUUGAAGACGCGACGACGACUUAACAAUGAUUCGAAUGCACAUAAAUAAUAACAGAGAGACUUAUAAGAUCAAUGUAAAUAGUUGAAAAUUGUCUCUUGAAUGGCUCUUAAAUGUAAAUAAAGUCAUUUCUCCGUUAUGUAAUCCUCAAACAUUCAAUGUAAAGCUGAAAAGCUUUCGUGGAUUUGGAUAAUUUGGAUUAGAAGUUUGUUUUGACCUUUUGAAACUGUCAAGGGUCAACUUGUACGACCAAGUGUUGUAGACAACAUGAUCAUUCUUUUCAACUUAGUAAUAAAAAACUAAACAUCUGAAAAGAACUUUAUAAAAAAGUUGUAAAUGCAGAAUUUUUAAUCCAUGGAGAAAUGCACCGCUGCAGUACCUGAAGAGACGCAUUCACAAAGAUGAGCAUCUCGUCAUUUUUUUAAUGUUGCAAACUCAAAUCAUGAACUAGUUUGUAGAAAUAGGUGGAUAUUUGCGUACCAUUUAAACAGUGUGUGAUAAUGGAUACAAAUGCGAUCGGAUUGUAAGAUUAAUUUUUAUGAUUUCAAUUAUGAAAUCUACCCAAGACCAAACUAGAUUUAUCUUAAUUCAACCCUAGUAGUUUUCUAAAAGAAGAAGAGAGAAACACUAACCUUGAUCUAUGCUUGGAUGCAAUUCCACCAAUUGAUUUUCUCUAUCCUUAACCUUUGACUUUCAAGAUUCCUUUGAUGGAGAGGAAUCAACCGUGUCUUUCUCUCUUUGACAUUGUCUUUUGUUACGUUAAAAUUACAAAGGAGGGAACGUGUGGUUUAUAUAUUUAUGUUAAUGGUUGUGAUGGUUCACGACAAUUACCAUGUAACCACUUUUAUGUAGCCACCUUUUAUGUAACCCCCAUAUACAUGUAUAUAGUAUCAUCUUUAUGUAGUUAAUAUAAACUAACUACAAAUACUAUAUAUACAUAUAAAUAAUUAAUAGAGAAAUACACUAAUACUAAAAUGGUAAGGAUAGAGGGUUAUCAAUACACCCGAUACUAAUACUUUAAUCGAAACCAAUCCAUCACGGUAUCGUCUUUUAUAUUAGAAUCAAUAACAUUAAUAUGAACUUGAUCUUUAUACUGAACCAAUAGACACAUAUGUCAUAUAAGAAUAUAAGAUAUUCUUACAUUCUCCCACUUGACAUUUGUGUCGUCUUAAGAGUUCAAUAACUUUAAUGUGCACUUUUCAUCAUGUCCACUUUAUCUUUACUAAAAUUAAAAUUGAUCGAAUCAUGCGGUUGUAUGUCAUUUAAUCGGCAUGGUCCCUUCCAUGUAUCACAAACCAAUUAUAACUUUAUAUUAUCUUUACAUGAGAAGAACUUCUAUUCUCAAAUCUUUACCAUAUGUUAUCUAUUAACCUUAAGUGUAUACACAUACUUUAAUGAUAACAUAUUUAAUAAAUCAGAAACUUAACUUUAACUGAAUUCCUAGGUGUCAAAUCUUAAUGAGCAUUCCAUAAUAUAAUAGCAAGGCUUUAUCUAUAAUACCCAUACGCUCUAAAUGGCCAUUGAACGCCUUGGGUGGUAAAACUUUAUCUUGCGGAUCCGCUAUCAUUAUAUCUUUUUCUUAUGUGCUCAAAUGACACUCUAUGUUUCUGAACUUCUCCUUUAACAGACAAGUACUAUAACUUAAUGUGCUUAGCACCCUUCCAGUGCUUGUUAUCCUUUCAAAAGAAGACAUCUGCGAAAUAAUCACCAUAAUCUCUCAGCGGUUUGGCGUUAGUGUCGACAAUCAAAGCCCUGAGAUAAAUUUCCGCAGGUUCCAUACAUGAAUUGAGGUAUGCUUUGAAGCCACAAUUCAACCUUAAUAGUGGAAGUAGCAAUGACAAACCCGUUCACUUAAACCUAGAAUCUAUACCAUUCUGUCUCACGCAUGAAUCCAUUUAUAACAUUCAAGCGUGUGCUCGUGUUGUAUACUUCAAAGAAACAUUAUUAGUUUCUGGAACCUUUACGCAACUACGGUUACCGUGUUCGCAACACACAGUGCGCAUAUACAUGAUAUGAACACACGCUUGAUAGCAACAUACGUUUACUAUAACAUGGAUCAUGAACACUCUUUAAAAUGGAAUUAACCAUAUAUGUUCAUGAACACAUAAGAACUAAUUACAGUGAAUUAAAUAAAUCUAGAAUGGCUCUGAUACCAAAUGUAAGAUUAACUUUUAUGAUUUCAAUUAUGAAAUCUACCCAAGACCAAACUAGAUUUAUCUUAAUUCAACCCUAGUAGUUUUCUAAAAGAAGAAGAGAGAAACACUAACCUUGAUCUAUGCUUGGAUGCAAUUCCACCAAUUGAUUUUCUCUAUCCUUAACCUUUGACUUUCAAGAUUCCUUUGAUGGAGAGGAAUCAACCGUGUCUUUCUCUCUUUGACAUUGUCUUUUGUUACGUUAAAAUUACAAAGGAGGGAACGUGUGGUUUAUAUAUUUAUGUUAAUGGUUGUGAUGGUUCACGACAAUUACCAUGUAACCACUUUUAUGUAGCCACCUUUUAUGUAACCCCCAUAUACAUGUAUAUAGUAUCAUCUUUAUGUAGUUAAUAUAAACUAACUACAAAUACUAUAUAUACAUAUAAAUAAUUAAUAGAGAAAUACACUAAUACUAAAAUGGUAAGGAUAGAGGGUUAUCAAUACACCCGAUACUAAUACUUUAAUCGAAACCAAUCCAUCACGGUAUCGUCUUUUAUAUUAGAAUCAAUAACAUUAAUAUGAACUUCAUCUUUAUACUGAACCAAUAGACACAUAUGUCAUAUAAGAAUAUAAGAUAUUCUUACAUUCUCCCACUUGACAUUUGUGUCGUCUUAAGAGUUCAAUAACUUUAAUGUGCACUUUUCAUCAUGUCCACUUUAUCUUUACUAAAAUUAAAAUUGAUCGAAUCAUGCGGUUGUAUGUCAUUUAAUCGGCAUGGUCCCUUCCAUGUAUCACAAACCAAUUAUAACUUUAUAUUAUCUUUACAUGAGAAGAACUUCUAUUCUCAAAUCUUUACCAUAUGUUAUCUAUUAUUAACCUUAAGUGUAUACACAUACUUUAAUGAUAACAUAUUUAAUAAAUCAGAAACUUAACUUUUGCACCUUGUGCAAUGCAUCAAUCCUCCAUAUGGCUUCAAUCUCCUUAUUUUUCUCUACUAUCUACCAAAGUUUAGAUCAAAUUGGUUCUCCUUAAGCGUAUGGAAUGCUAUAUAACAAGUAAAAAGAGUUGAGAAUGAUGUACCAUGACCAAUUGACCAUCCAUACAUCAGGCUCGGCCUCAUGGAAAACAUCAGAGUGUCUCUGCUUCUUUUACCUCACAAGCUGCUUCCGGGGAGAAAAGAGUCUGCAUUUAUUAUUCAAAUAAACGAAAAAUCAUAAAAUUAAGGGCUAAUCUGGCAUCAUCAACGCAGCAGAUACAUAACCCAACAGCUUAAUGAAAAAUGAGCAAUGAUCACCAUAACUCUAGAAAGAAAAAAAGAAAAAAAAAACUAUUUUGAGUGUUAAGAUCAUCGCAAGAUAGGAAAUUUGCCGAAAGAUUAUCAUUUUAGUACCAAAAUCACAUAACCCCAUUUAAACUGAUAUGAAAGAAAAAACGUGAAAUUGAUAUCAUCUGGAGGCAGUGAUCAAACUCCAAUUAUCGCAAUAGUUCAAUGUCCACAACAAGAAUCACAAACAGAGAAUAAGAGAGGACAUGAAGCAGGUAAACGGGUCGAUCGAUAAAGUUACCGGGUCAGGAUCCAAUGGUUCGGGUCGUAGUCGUUGAGGGGAUCAUACGUCGUCCCUUGUCUUCUUCCUCACUUACUCUCUCUCUUUAAUUAAAUAGAGACGACAUUAGUUGUCUACCGAACUUUUCGAGCGGUUAAUAUUCGGUUUAAUGGUAGUUACGUAUUAAACCGGUAAAUUUGAGGUAAACCGAAUUAAGAAUCGGUUUACAUUACGGUUAUAAACCUCCACAAGCUUUGCGUUUGCUUCUUCGCAUUCACUCAAGCUAAGGAUCCAACGGAGGCAACCCUCGAUUCUAGUCUCCCGUCGCGUGAACUUUUAUACGUAAGUGAUGUGGAUUCUCAUGUACAAUUUGAGAACCCUUUUUUUCUGGUGAUCUUUUCUCUGUUUUAUGAUCAUUGGGUGGGGCCCAAUCACUCGAUGACACUUGUACGUUUGUUUGUAUGAUCGAAAAGGUUUCAAUUUUGAAUCGUCUUCUUAGUUUUCGAAUGUUGAUCAAGUUUCAUCCUUUGCAUGCACUUACUCGCUUUUGUAGUAUCUCUAGAUUGAUCGGCAAACAAUGUCUGAUCUCAAAGAUCGUUUGCUUCCUCCACCCCUCAGAGGAGAUUCCUUUUCUCGCCCUUCUUCCUCAGGGAGACAGCCUCUCCUCGGACUCCAUGUUUCAGGUCUCAAGAAGCGUGGACAAGGUCUCAAGUCCUGGAUCCGCGUUGACGCUUUUGCCAAUACUCAAGUCAUCGAGGUGGAUAAGUUCUCAAUGAUGCGUAGAUGCGACUUGCCUGCACGUGACUUGCGCCUGCUUGAUCCUUUGUUUGUGUAUCCCUCCACUAUCUUAGGGCGAGAGAGGGCUAUUGUUGUUAACUUGGAGCAGAUCCGUUGUAUUAUUACUGCGGAUGAGGUUUUGUUAUUGAACUCUUUAGAUGACUAUGUGCUUGGCUAUGUGGUUGAGCUCCAGCAGAGACUAAAGGCAAGUUCUGUAGGCGACACGUCCCCUGAUUAUUUGCCUUUCGAGUUCAGGGCUCUUGAAGUGGCUCUCGAAGCUGCUUGUACCUUCCUUGAUGCUCAGGCGUCAGAGUUGGAGAUUGAGGCGUAUCCUUUGUUGGACGAGCUCACCUCAAAGAUCAGUACAGUGAACUUGGAGCGUGUGCGGAGACUGAAGAGCAGACUUGUGGCGUUGACGAGAAGAGUUUUACAUGAGAAGAACUUCUAUUCUCAAAUCUUUACCAUAUGUUAUCUAUUAUUAACCUUAAGUGUAUACACAUACUUUAAUGAUAACAUAUUUAAUAAAUCAGAAACUUAACUUUUGCACCUUGUGCAAUGCAUCAAUCCUCCAUAUGGCUUCAAUCUCCUUAUUUUUCUCUACUAUCUACCAAAGUUUAGAUCAAAUUGGUUCUCCUUAAGCGUAUGGAAUGCUAUAUAACAAGUAAAAAGAGUUGAGAAUGAUGUACCAUGACCAAUUGACCAUCCAUACAUCAGGCUCGGCCUCAUGGAAAACAUCAGAGUGUCUCUGCUUCUUUUACCUCACAAGCUGCUUCCGGGGAGAAAAGAGUCUGCAUUUAUUAUUCAAAUAAACGAAAAAUCAUAAAAUUAAGGGCUAAUCUGGCAUCAUCAACGCAGCAGAUACAUAACCCAACAGCUUAAUGAAAAAUGAGCAAUGAUCACCAUAACUCUAGAAAGAAAAAAAGAAAAAAAAAACUAUUUUGAGUGUUAAGAUCAUCGCAAGAUAGGAAAUUUGCCGAAAGAUUAUCAUUUUAGUACCAAAAUCACAUAACCCCAUUUAAACUGAUAUGAAAGAAAAAACGUGAAAUUGAUAUCAUCUGGAGGCAGUGAUCAAACUCCAAUUAUCGCAAUAGUUCAAUGUCCACAACAAGAAUCACAAACAGAGAAUAAGAGAGGACAUGAAGCAGGUAAACGGGUCGAUCGAUAAAGUUACCGGGUCAGGAUCCAAUGGUUCGGGUCGUAGUCGUUGAGGGGAUCAUACGUCGUCCCUUGUCUUCUUCCUCACUUACUCUCUCUCUUUAAUUAAAUAGAGACGACAUUAGUUGUCUACCGAACUUUUCGAGCGGUUAAUAUUCGGUUUAAUGGUAGUUACGUAUUAAACCGGUAAAUUUGAGGUAAACCGAAUUAAGAAUCGGUUUACAUUACGGUUAUAAACCUCCACAAGCUUUGCGUUUGCUUCUUCGCAUUCACUCAAGCUAAGGAUCCAACGGAGGCAACCCUCGAUUCUAGUCUCCCGUCGCGUGAACUUUUAUACGUAAGUGAUGUGGAUUCUCAUGUACAAUUUGAGAACCCUUUUUUUCUGGUGAUCUUUUCUCUGUUUUAUGAUCAUUGGGUGGGGCCCAAUCACUCGAUGACACUUGUACGUUUGUUUGUAUGAUCGAAAAGGUUUCAAUUUUGAAUCGUCUUCUUAGUUUUCGAAUGUUGAUCAAGUUUCAUCCUUUGCAUGCACUUACUCGCUUUUGUAGUAUCUCUAGAUUGAUCGGCAAACAAUGUCUGAUCUCAAAGAUCGUUUGCUUCCUCCACCCCUCAGAGGAGAUUCCUUUUCUCGCCCUUCUUCCUCAGGGAGACAGCCUCUCCUCGGACUCCAUGUUUCAGGUCUCAAGAAGCGUGGACAAGGUCUCAAGUCCUGGAUCCGCGUUGACGCUUUUGCCAAUACUCAAGUCAUCGAGGUGGAUAAGUUCUCAAUGAUGCGUAGAUGCGACUUGCCUGCACGUGACUUGCGCCUGCUUGAUCCUUUGUUUGUGUAUCCCUCCACUAUCUUAGGGCGAGAGAGGGCUAUUGUUGUUAACUUGGAGCAGAUCCGUUGUAUUAUUACUGCGGAUGAGGUUUUGUUAUUGAACUCUUUAGAUGACUAUGUGCUUGGCUAUGUGGUUGAGCUCCAGCAGAGACUAAAGGCAAGUUCUGUAGGCGACACGUCCCCUGAUUAUUUGCCUUUCGAGUUCAGGGCUCUUGAAGUGGCUCUCGAAGCUGCUUGUACCUUCCUUGAUGCUCAGGCGUCAGAGUUGGAGAUUGAGGCGUAUCCUUUGUUGGACGAGCUCACCUCAAAGAUCAGUACAGUGAACUUGGAGCGUGUGCGGAGACUGAAGAGCAGACUUGUGGCGUUGACGAGAAGAGUUCAGAAGGUGAGGGAUGAGAUCGAACAGUUGAUGGAUGAUGAUGGGGAUAUGGCUGAGAUGUAUCUAACGGAGAAGAAGAAGAGGAUGGAAGGAUCUUUGUAUGGUGAUCAGUCUUUACCUAAUGAUGGUGUCUCUUUCUCUGCGCCGGUCUCUCCUGUUUCCUCUCCUCCUAGCUCCCGGAGACUUGAGAAAAGCUUGAGCUUUGCGAGGAGCAGGCAUGACAGUGCGAAAAGCUCAGAAAGCGAAAAUGAGAAUAUAGAAGAGCUGGAGAUGUUGCUGGAAGCUUACUUUGUUGUCAUUGAUAGCACUCUCAACAAGCUAACCUCGGUAACAUCAAAACACCAUUCCUUUGUGUUAUAAACAGGUUUAAUCCUCUGUUUUCCUUUUUUUACAACUCAGUUGAAGGAGUACAUUGAUGAUACUGAAGACUUCAUCAACAUUCAAUUGGUAUUACCCUUUUAAAAUCUUGAUCAUAUACAUUUUGUAUCUUUAUUUUUUUGCUUAGAAUCUAUGGUGUUUGCUUGCAGGAUAACGUGAGGAAUCAGCUGAUUCAGUUUGAGCUGCUGCUAACUACUGCGACGUUUGUGGUGGCCAUCUUUGGGGUUGUGGCAGGGAUCUUUGGGAUGAAUUUUGAGAUAGAUUUGUUUGAACAGCCUGGCGCUUUCAAAUGGGUUUUGACCAUUACUGGAGUCUGUGGCGUUCUUGUAUUUUUGGCGUUCCUCUGGUUCUACAAAAGUAGAAGGCUCAUGCCUCUGUGAGGACAUAAGUGGUGGCCAGACAAGUAGGAGAUUGCUAUUGUUGCUUUUAUUAAUCAUUUGUGACCUUCACAAGAUGAAAACAGUGUGUUCUAGAUGAAAUAUUAUGAGCAGUGCUUUAUCCUUGUCACUAUUUGGUGUUUGAGGAAACUUUUACUUAUUUCAUACAGAAAACUUCAGUACAUGUGAAAUGAAACGUAUCUGAACUCUAAAACAACACUGAGAUAUGUUCAUCCAGGACACACAUAGUUUAAAAAAAGGUCUCCAAGUGGGGAAGUGAGGAAAAAAGGAUUGGAGAGAACUACUUGUCAGAGGAUGAAGAUGAGGAGAGACGGGCUUUACGAGUUUUAUCAGCCUUUUCCAUGUAAUCUUGGUGAGACCGAUGCUUUGAUCCUAAAACAAACGAGAAAUUUAACAAGAGUCAAGUCUAAACAUUAGCUCAGUGAAGGAAGAAACCAAAAGUUACAUACAUAAAUCAAAUAUGAUAACAAAAACUCUAUCAUUCCUCAGUAAUCAUCAAUCUACCAAUCAAAAUUCCAUUUGGCAGUAAUUUAGGAAUCCAAGAUUUAUGCUAUUACUUCAUUGAAUUACAAAUCUAGCAGCUUACACAAAGAAGUUGAAUUGGGUUGUAAAAGAAGGGACCUUGAUUCAUGAGAUACCAAGGGAUGCCGAAGAUGAUGGUGAUGAUCCCGAUCCCAGCUAAAACGUGCUUCUUCUCUCCACUGUAGACAUAGUGCUCCAUCUUUGCCCUGAAUCCUCCUCCUCCUCCUCCUCCCAUGUUUGAAGCUCCGUUGCUCUUGGUCUCAUUUCCCAUCUCGGUCGGUCCGACAACGUCGCCGUGUCAGGUUUCUCUUCUAAGGUUUUACGACCAUCUUGAAUGGGCUUUUUUUAUUUAGUUAGGCCCAUUACCUUAACUUUUCUUUACAACAAAGUUAAAUGGUUUCCCACCAAUAUUCUUUUGAUAUAGAGGAGCUGAUCUAAAUCAGAUUUUUUUACAACCUCAGGACAUAGUCUUAACUGUAGAAUGUCACAUGAAGGUGUUUUUCUUUAUCAUUUCUAUGUACAAUCCUCAUGCCAGUAUUCAUUAAUUAGAUAUCACGAGGAUCAACAAAAAUCACGUUAGAAGAAGAAGAUUUUGAGCUACUCCAAUCGGAAAGUUCAGGUUCAUCGGAUAGUUUCUUGAGGCACCAAAGAUCUUGAGCCCAAGAAAGCCGUUUCCAAUGAGGAACAGCCGAAGCUACCGGGUCCGAAGGACUAAUCUCCGUCGCAACAGCUCCACAUCCUCCCUCGUGUCUCCCAAUGUUAUGAACAAAAUAGCAUAAACUUUUCAUGAGCCGUGGACCGUCUCUGCCUUCCAUGUGCAUUCCGUACAUGAAAUAAACCCAAAACUUGUCGAACACGUUAGGGAACGAGGGUAGUUUCAUCCACGGCAUGCAAGAAUCAAGUAAUCUCGAACCGGAGCAGCACGCGUGAGUUAACCGGGAAACGCCUUUCAUUUGCAGCCUGAAUACAUCUUUGGUGCUCCAUACACUUAAUAUCGCAUAAUCCGUUGGGAAAUCGCGGUUAGAUUUGUGACCGUGUUCUUCUUUUGGGAACGCUAUAAACGUUCCUAAGCUGUUGCGGCUGGUUAAUAUUGCCUCGAUGUCACGAGGGAAGAACUCUGAGUCUUUGAAAACCCGGGUGUAGAUUGAUUCAGCGGUUUUGGUGGUUAACCGGAGGAUUGUGAUAUCUGAACAAAUUGGUUUGGAAUGGGCGUGAACCGGUUGAACCAGCAUUGUCGGUGUACGGAACUUGAUGUAGGAACAUUUCUUGGUGAACAAGUUAAUGGAAGACUCGUUGGUACAAUCAGUGGCCAUGUACGAGUAAGUUGCGCCUUGUUGUUUAAACCACUCUUCAAGUUUUUGCACCAGUUUUGUUCCUAUGCCUAAGUUCCUGCUCGAGAAAUCAUAUUCAUUUCUGUAUAUAUUAGUGCGUGGUGUAUCAUAUAUGCUUUAUCAGUUAAAUAAAGUGAUAUAACUUAUAUGGAGAUUAAUUAAAUGAGAGGAAGAAUCAACUAGGGUGGAUACAAGUGUCACCAAAGGGGCAACUUCUUUCUUUUGGAUACAUAACUUAAUUUGGAAUCUAUCAUCAACUUUACGUUUAAUCUUUAUUUAUUAUGUGGAAUUGAAUUCGAAAUUCAAGAAAGCAAAACAUAUAUUCUCACUCACACAUUACACAUACAUAGCAUGUAAAUAAAAAAUUUAAAAUUUAUUUUAGGCUAAGUGGAUUUAUAUACAAGAUUCUUGUAUGACUUGGGAGUUUUUGUUUAAAAUACUUAAAUAAGUGCCUUGUGUAGAGGCGUGUAUCCAUAAAACCGUUACGUAUAUGUUCAUUUUUUUACAGAAAAAUAAAAGAAAACAACGAUUUCAAGAAAACAAAUAGUAACGAAAAGAACUUGUGAACAAAUGUGUCUUUGUCAGUUUUAUGAUCAUUAGAUAACGGUAGUUGCAUGAUUACUGUUGAAAUACAUGAGAGAAUAAAAACAAAUUAAAAAGAUUUUUCUUUUAACAAAAUAGUUGAUUUUAGUGUCAUCUGCUAAAAUUCACAUUAGUCAUUAAUAACUAAAAGCAGAAAAGAAAAAGAAAGUACCGAUGGGAAGGUGAAACUCUAAGACCAAGAACAUAAGCGAGUUUGACAUAGAUUGAGUUUCCUCUAGUCACGGUUUUAACGCAUCCUCUCACAACUCCCACCAUCUUUCUUCCUUCUCCAUACUCUGCAACCUACACACCAAUAAUUUUGAUAUAAGAAAAUUUGCAGUUAUAGACUCGUACCUAAUGUCAACCCGUAACCCACCUAGACAUGUUCAUAUAGUACUUGUGUUGUGUAAUAUUUUUUGAUAUGUUGAAGAGGUCAAAAUAUGAUUUACCAGCAUAGUAUGGCAGGGAAAGUGACGGACGCGACGAACCGGAUCUCCUAAUAAAUCAGAGACCAUUACCGGUUUGCCAUGCGGUCCGGUCUCAUCACAUUCACGUUCCAUCUCCUCCACGUCACGCUUGUCGGUUUCUUCAUCGUAUUCUCUCACCACCACCACCGCAGCCGCAGCUACCUCCGCCGCUAUUUUACUCGACAUUUAUGCGUUUUCCCGUGUUGAGACGAAGAACAGUAAAGUGGUGAUGUCUUUUUAUUUUUUUGGAUAUAUAUAUGUGUUUAUUUACUUUUGUUGGAGAGGGAUUUUCUUGAUUUAUUGGUGGUUAUAAGUUGGAGUUAUGUCGUGAUGUCAUGUAUAUAUAGAGAGAUAGAGACUAUAAAGGUUAUUGGAACCUUUUUAUUAUUUAAAAACGUUGUUAAACAAAUUAAAUUAUGCAUGCAACGAUAGUCAUGCCAUUUUUUUCUUUUAAGAAUUAUCACAUUAAUUAAUGUUUUUUUUGUAACUCACAUUAAUUAAUGCUUUACGUAAAAUAGUCUGUUCAUGCAGUUUCUGGUUUGUCAAAUCCAUUUUUAAUUAGUUAUCAUGUCAUCGGAAAUAAGACAUAAAAUCUGAUGAUCGAUCGAUAGACAAAUUAAAAAAAAAAUUAUAACAGCUAAUCAAAUAAUUUCGAUAUUAAUGAGCCGAUUUUAUAUUGUUAAAAAUAUAAUUAAACGCGACAGGCGACAUGAUAGAUGUAAAAUUCUGGUAUCUGAUUAAAGUAUUAAUCAGAUGUGAAUGCUCAAAUGAUUAAGAUAGGCGACUAAAGUCGUACCAUUAAUAUAUGAAGCUUAGAGGGAAAAAUUAAUGAAGUAAAGUUAACUAAGGCAUAUAUAUGUAAGUAGUGCAGAUGGCGGCGGUUCUUUACGCUAAACAAGUGUCAUUAUUCAGUGAUAUUAUAGUAUACAGAUAUAGCAUAAGAGUUACUAGACUUGAUUAAGACCACGUAUGUAAUUAUUGGUAUAUUUUUACUAGAUCUUAUUUCUGAAAAUAAUUUACUAUUAUUAAUUGGUAUCAUAUAUAGAUGGUAAGACUGAUAAGAUGAUAGUAUAUAUAUAGAGUUAAGUAUUGAGAUGACAUAACACAUGAAAAACUACUUUAUCUGAUUGAUAAAAUGUCAAAUUUUUAGAAAUGGACAAAUGUCAGGUUCAAAUAAUUGAGAACAUGAAUGUGCUUAAUAUUGGUGAAUGCCUAUAAUAAUGGAUAUGAAAUCAAUUCAAAUUUUAUUCCCUUUUCGGGAGUGUCCUCCGGUCCAUAGCCCCCCCUGUUCUUUUAACCUCCGGGUUCUUCCCCCGACCCGGGUCGGAGGGACCGCCGUCGCUGGCCAGGCACCCGCCUCCACCGCACCAUGGCUCGCAGUGAUAGCUCCCUGCACAUUCUCACCACCUGUACCAGUUGGUGGUAGCCUUCCUCUGUUCCUAUCCCCUCCAGUGAAACUACUGCAAGUUGAGGCAAUUUAAGACUUUCAACUACCAUACGGCUCACUACAUCGUAUUUAAAGCCGGUUCCACAGAAAGAUUGUGCUAUAUUAACUCAUCCUCUCUCUGGUUUGCCAUAACCUAUUACUUUCUUCCUGCCUCGCCUUCUCUCAUCAAAAUGUCUCACCGAUUUUCACGAGCUGAUAAAGGGAAAGGAAGGGCAGCACCGGAACCACCGGCCAAGCGACCACCGGUCCGUAUUCCCGCUAGUGAUUCAGCGGUUUUGGUGGUUAACCGGAGGAUUGUGAUAUCUGAACAAAUUGGUUUGGAAUGGGCGUGAACCGGUUGAACCAGCAUUGUCGGUGUACGGAACUUGAUGUAGGAACAUUUCUUGGUGAACAAGUUAAUGGAAGACUCGUUGGUACAAUCAGUGGCCAUGUACGAGUAAGUUGCGCCUUGUUGUUUAAACCACUCUUCAAGUUUUUGCACCAGUUUUGUUCCUAUGCCUAAGUUCCUGCUCGAGAAAUCAUAUUCAUUUCUGUAUAUAUUAGUGCGUGGUGUAUCAUAUAUGCUUUAUCAGUUAAAUAAAGUGAUAUAACUUAUAUGGAGAUUAAUUAAAUGAGAGGAAGAAUCAACUAGGGUGGAUACAAGUGUCACCAAAGGGGCAACUUCUUUCUUUUGGAUACAUAACUUAAUUUGGAAUCUAUCAUCAACUUUACGUUUAAUCUUUAUUUAUUAUGUGGAAUUGAAUUCGAAAUUCAAGAAAGCAAAACAUAUAUUCUCACUCACACAUUACACAUACAUAGCAUGUAAAUAAAAAAUUUAAAAUUUAUUUUAGGCUAAGUGGAUUUAUAUACAAGAUUCUUGUAUGACUUGGGAGUUUUUGUUUAAAAUACUUAAAUAAGUGCCUUGUGUAGAGGCGUGUAUCCAUAAAACCGUUACGUAUAUGUUCAUUUUUUUACAGAAAAAUAAAAGAAAACAACGAUUUCAAGAAAACAAAUAGUAACGAAAAGAACUUGUGAACAAAUGUGUCUUUGUCAGUUUUAUGAUCAUUAGAUAACGGUAGUUGCAUGAUUACUGUUGAAAUACAUGAGAGAAUAAAAACACAUUAAAAAGAUUUUUCUUUUAACAAAAUAGUUGAUUUUAGUGUCAUCUGCUAAAAUUCACAUUAGUCAUUAAUAACUAAAAGCAGAAAAGAAAAAGAAAGUACCGAUGGGAAGGUGAAACUCUAAGACCAAGAACAUAAGCGAGUUUGACAUAGAUUGAGUUUCCUCUAGUCACGGUUUUAACGCAUCCUCUCACAACUCCCACCAUCUUUCUUCCUUCUCCAUACUCUGCAACCUACACACCAAUAAUUUUGAUAUAAGAAAAUUUGCAGUUAUAGACUCGUACCUAAUGUCAACCCGUAACCCACCUAGACAUGUUCAUAUAGUACUUGUGUUGUGUAAUAUUUUUUGAUAUGUUGAAGAGCGACCACCGGUCCGUAUUCCCGCUAGUGACAAUAAUGCCCUCAUUGCUGCAAACAAGCUAACUCUUAUAGGGCGGGUUACUAACCAUGUUCUCCAACGCACGCGAGCUGUUGUGGACUUUUUGCCCCAGGUCUGGAACUUGGAAGGCAGAGUGGAGGGCAGAGAUCUAGGCCGGGACCGCCGUCGCUGGCCAGGCACCCGCCUCCACCGCACCAUGGCUCGCAGUGAUAGCUCCUUGAGGUCAAAAUAUGAUUUACCAGCAUAGUAUGGCAGGGAAAGUGACGGACGCGACGAACCGGAUCUCCUAAUAAAUCAGAGACCAUUACCGGUUUGCCAUGCGGUCCGGUCUCAUCACAUUCACGUUCCAUCUCCUCCACGUCACGCUUGUCGGUUUCUUCAUCGUAUUCUCUCACCACCACCACCGCAGCCGCAGCUACCUCCGCCGCUAUUUUACUCGACAUUUAUGCGUUUUCCCGUGUUGAGACGAAGAACAGUAAAGUGGUGAUGUCUUUUUAUUUUUUUGGAUAUAUAUAUGUGUUUAUUUACUUUUGUUGGAGAGGGAUUUUCUUGAUUUAUUGGUGGUUAUAAGUUGGAGUUAUGUCGUGAUGUCAUGUAUAUAUAGAGAGAUAGAGACUAUAAAGGUUAUUGGAACCUUUUUAUUAUUUAAAAACGUUGUUAAACAAAUUAAAUUAUGCAUGCAACGAUAGUCAUGCCAUUUUUUUCUUUUAAGAAUUAUCACAUUAAUUAAUGUUUUUUUUGUAACUCACAUUAAUUAAUGCUUUACGUAAAAUAGUCUGUUCAUGCAGUUUCUGGUUUGUCAAAUCCAUUUUUAAUUAGUUAUCAUGUCAUCGGAAAUAAGACAUAAAAUCUGAUGAUCGAUCGAUAGACAAAUUAAAAAAAAAAUUAUAACAGCUAAUCAAAUAAUUUCGAUAUUAAUGAGCCGAUUUUAUAUUGUUAAAAAUAUAAUUAAACGCGACAGGCGACAUGAUAGAUGUAAAAUUCUGGUAUCUGAUUAAAGUAUUAAUCAGAUGUGAAUGCUCAAAUGAUUAAGAUAGGCGACUAAAGUCGUACCAUUAAUAUAUGAAGCUUAGAGGGAAAAAUUAAUGAAGUAAAGUUAACUAAGGCAUAUAUAUGUAAGUAGUGCAGAUGGCGGCGGUUCUUUACGCUAAACAAGUGUCAUUAUUCAGUGAUAUUAUAGUAUACAGAUAUAGCAUAAGAGUUACUAGACUUGAUUAAGACCACGUAUGUAAUUAUUGGUAUAUUUUUACUAGAUCUUAUUUCUGAAAAUAAUUUACUAUUAUUAAUUGGUAUCAUAUAUAGAUGGUAAGACUGAUAAGAUGAUAGUAUAUAUAUAGAGUUAAGUAUUGAGAUGACAUAACACAUGAAAAACUACUUUAUCUGAUUGAUAAAAUGUCAAAUUUUUAGAAAUGGACAAAUGUCAGGUUCAAAUAAUUGAGAACAUGAAUGUGCUUAGUAUUGGUGAAUGCCUAUAAUAAUGGAUAUGAAAUCAAUUCAAAUUUUAUUCCCUUUUCGGGAGUGUCCUCCGGUCCAUAGCCCCCCCUGUUCUUUUAACCUCCGGGUUCUUCCCCCGACCCGGGUCGGAGGGACCGCCGUCGCUGGCCAGGCACCCGCCUCCACCGCACCAUGGCUCGCAGUGAUAGCUCCCUGCACAUUCUCACCACCUGUACCAGUUGGUGGUAGCCUUCCUCUGUUCCUAUCCCCUCCAGUGAAACUACUGCAAGUUGAGGCAAUUUAAGACUUUCAACUACCAUACGGCUCACUACAUCGUAUUUAAAGCCGGUUCCACAGAAAGAUUGUGCUAUAUUAACUCAUCCUCUCUCUGGUUUGCCAUAACCUAUUACUUUCUUCCUGCCUCGCCUUCUCUCAUCAAAAUGUCUCACCGAUUUUCACGAGCUGAUAAAGGGAAAGGAAGGGCAGCACCGGAACCACCGGCCAAGCGACCACCGGUCCGUAUUCCCGCUAGUGACAAUAAUGCCCUCAUUGCUGCAAACAAGCUAACUCUUAUAGGGCGGGUUACUAACCAUGUUCUCCAACGCACGCGAGCUGUUGUGGACUUUUUGCCCCAGGUCUGGAACUUGGAAGGCAGAGUGGAGGGCAGAGAUCUAGGCCCUGAGAAAUUCCAGAUGCGCUUUCAGUCUGAAGAAGAUAUGGAGCGAGUUCUUACCAAGGGCCCUUAUCACUACAAGAAGUGGAUGCUACUACUCCAAAGAUGGGAGCCUGUAGUCUCGGAAAACUUUCCGUCUUUGAUUUCCUUCUGGAUUAAAAUCCAUGAUCUCCCAUUACACUUCUGGAAUGAAGGAACCAUCUCAAUCAUUGGUGACCAGUUAGGUCACAUGCCUGAUAAAGUUGUUGAAGAAGCCAAGAUAAGAGUGGAGAUAAACGGGUUGGAACCUCUAAUUAUGGACUUGGAGAUCCAGCUCCCCUCCGACGAGAUUCUACCGGUGGAAUUUGAGUAUAUGAAGCUUGAGAAGCACUGCUUCACGUGUUUUUCCUUAUUCCAUGAAGAAGUGAAUUGCCCUUUAAGGUCCAGGCACGACGCCCCUGCUAGGGACCGUAAACUCGGGAUCACCCAACGCCUGGCUCUCCAGCGUAUUGAAGCUGAUAAAAGACGUCAUGAUGACCGACGAGGGUAUCAGCGGCCCUCUGCUGAAUUCAGACCGCAUAACGACAGAAGAGAUGAAAGGAACUCUCGGCGCACUUACUCUGAUCAUAGAGAUUUACACACUCGCUCAAAAGGAGGCUCCUCUCCAUAUCGCAGUGCAGCUGCACCUGCUUCCCUUCGUUAUAGACCCGCUGAUUCCGUGGGAACUAAGGCAUCAGAGGACAAUGAUUCCCGAGUCCUAUCUAGUGGUGUUGUGAUACGCCAUCAAGACAUUCCUGUGGAUAAUGCUUCUCGUCCUUCAGCUAAUGCAGGCGUAUUCAACCGACUCUCUAGCUCUCAUGUAUCGCAUACUCCCUCUCCACGCAACCUUCGUGAGAGGCUGGAAUAUACAAAUGAUGUUGGCUCCACAGGAGGGACUCCUAAUCCUAGUUCUCGGGAGAGACGGUUGUCGCUUGGGCGCACAACAGAACCUGACCUACGCGAACUUAUCUCCCCCCGACCAACUUCUAGCCUGGACUCUGGGCGUCUCCAAGAAGUUGAAAUUCAAUAUGAUGGUGGGGAAAAUGAACAUAUCAGCCCUGUGGUUACCAAUUCCAGUGCUCUUCCACCUCGUAUUCCUGGACCAGCAGUUUCCAUUAUCCUAAUUACUUUUCUCUCCCACCGGUGGGGGCUAGCGGUGACUUGGCUUUAUUGUGGAAAGAUAGCGUUAACAUCAAGAUCCUGGAAUCACUUCCCAAUCUGAUCGAUGCAGAGGUUUCUUUCAAAGGAGUGGAGUCUUUCAUUUCCUUUGUAUAUGGUGCCCCGGUGGUGGAGAACCGAUCGGCUUUUUGGACUAAACUCUCUCAGACCGGUUUGGAUAGGGAUUCCUCAUGGCUUCUUACUGGGGAUUUCAAUGAAAUCCUAGACAAUACAGAAAAAGUAGGCGGGCCAGCGAGAUGGGAAGGGUCCUUUACAGCAUUCAGAUCAUUUGUAUCUCAGAACGGGCUCUGGGAUUUACGACACUCAGGGAACCAGUUGUCGUGGAGAGGUAACCGAUACUCCCACUUUAUCCGGUCUCGCUUGGAUAGAUCUAUGGUCAAUUGCUCUUGGAGUGAGCAAUUCCCUAUGGGCAGAAGCUCCUACUUGCGCUUCGAAGGAUCUGAUCACCGGCCGUUGAUUACCUACUUUAAUGCCAAUUACCGCAAGAAGCGGGGAGUAUUCCGGUUCAAUAGGACAUUAACAGAGAAGCCGGAUAUGGAGGAGAUCAUCAAGUCAGCAUGGAACUACUCGCCUAUAGCGUCUGCUAUGGAUAGACUGGAUUCAUGCCGGCGGAGUAUCAUCAAAUGGGCCAAGGAGCAAAACGUUAAAAGCAACAUUAUCAUCACCCAAGCACAAGUUGACUUAGAGUAUGCUCUUUCAGCGACCAUACCUGACCCCGCACGCAUAGAAUCUCUUACAGCCACACUUCGAACUGCUUAUCGAGAGGAGGAGCAAUUUUGGCAACAAAGAAGUAGAAUACAAUGGUUGAAGAAUGGAGAUAGGAACACUGGCUUCUUUCAUGCCAUCACCCGGCAGCGGAGACUCUUGAACUCUCUCUCGGUGAUAGAGGACAAAUAUGGCACUGCAGUUUACGAAGAACCUCAGAUUGCUGACGUUAUCUCCGAUUACUUUAAGGAGAUCUUCACAUCCAGUGCAAAUGCUGAUUUCGCGGCACUCUCUAGCAUCCUCUCCAGCAAGGUGACGGACGAAAUGAAUGCUAUGUUGACUGCUAUACCGAGCGAUUCAGAGAUAAAACUAGCUGUAAUGUCCAUCAAUGGUGGUAAAGCACCUGGCCCGGAUGGCUUCUCGGCGAAGUUUUACCACUCCUAUUGGCAUAUUAUCGGGAAAGAGGUGAUCCGAGAGGUGCGCCAGUUCUUUGUAUCGGAUUAUCUCCAGCCACAGCAAAAUGAAACCCAUAUCCGCCUCAUUCCCAAAGUUACCGGACCGCGAUAUGUUUCCGAUUACCGGCCCAUUGCUUUGUGCAAUACACAUUACAAGAUCAUUGCCAAGGUACUAUCCCGUCGCCUGAAACCUCUCUUACCUGCCUUGAUCUCGCCUUCACAAUCAGCUUUCGUGGCUGGCCGAGCCAUUGGGGAUAAUGUGCUGAUUACACAUGAAACCCUCCAUUAUUUACGGACUUCCGAAGCAAAGAAGCAUUGCUCCAUGGCCGUUAAAACAGAUAUGAGCAAGGCGUAUGAUCGACUUGAGUGGGGAUUUAUCGAGGCUGUCCUUACAUACAUGGGAUUCGCUACCAAGUGGAUCACAUGGGUCAUGAGAUGCAUUGAUUCUGUCUCCUACUCCUUCCUGAUCAAUGGCUCACCACAAGGCUCGGUUAAACCCUCUCGUGGAAUACGACAAGGCGAUCCUCUUUCCCCGUACGUCUUCAUCUUAUGUACGGAAGUACUCUCUGCCCUUUGUGAUAAAGCGAUGCUGGAUGGCUCUCUGGCGGGAGUUCGUGUGUCUCGCCACAGCCCCUCGGUCAACCACCUCUUGUUCGCGGAUGAUACCAUGUUUUUCUGCAAAUCAAACCCAACCAGCGUUACCACUUUAGCCGCCAUCUUGAGACAAUAUGAAGAACUAUCUUUCCAGAGAAUCAACCUCCUUAAAUCUUCCAUCACCUUCUCGGCAAAAACCCCUCCGGAGGUCAAGCAGCGGGUCAAGCGUAACCUCUCCAUUGAGGCAGAAGGAGGUAUAGGAAAAUAUCUCGGGCUUCCCGAGCACUUUGGUAGGAAGAAGAGGGAUAUAUUUGCCUCCAUUGUUGAUCGCGUUCGCCAAAAGGCUUUCAGCUGGACCUCAAGGUUUCUCUCGGGAGCAGGGAAACAGGUUCUUCUCAAAGCCGUGCUGGCCGCUAUGCCCUGUUAUGCCAUGUCCUGUUUCAAAAUACCUAGUUCCCUGUGCAAACAAAUUCAGUCAGUCCUCACUCGCUUUUGGUGGGACGCAACCCCGGAGAAAAGGAAGAUGUGUUGGGUAGCUUGGGACACUUUAACCCAACCUAAGUAUGCUGGCGGCCUUGGUUUCCGCGAUAUCGAAACCUUCAAUGAUUCCUUGCUUGCAAAAAUUGGUUGGCGAAUUAUCUCGAACCCGGAGUCUCUGUUAGCUCGCGUUUUGCUGGGUAAAUAUGCUUGGAAGUCAUCAUUCUUGGACUGCUCUGUCCCCUCGGUGGCUUCUCAUGGUUGGAGAAGCAUUCUAGUGGGAAGGGAGAUCCUCAGGAAGGGUUUGAGCUGGACAGUUGGGAACGGCGAGGAUAUUCGAGUGUGGCAGGACCCGUGGAUCAGCUGCGAUACGCCCACCAUCCCGUUCGGUCCUCCUAACCUCUUGUCAAUCAAUUUACGUGUUAGUGAUCUACUCUGCCCUAUCUCUAAUGAUUGGGACCUGGAUAAAAUUAGAGCUGUGUUACCACAUUACGAAGAGCAUAUUCGAAGCUUGAUCACUAGUGCAGCUCCAUCUCAGGACCGCCUUGCUUGGCUUCCUGAUAAAUCAGGUCUCUAUACUACUAGAUCAGGGUAUAGGGUUGGGAGGAAUCCCUUGAGAAGUACUGAAUUGCAAACCCUUCCUCAAGACCCCGCUCCCCUUCCUCCCUUCGACUGGUUAAAGAACAUCUGGAACAUUCACACUGCUCCUAAAAUCAAAGACUUCCUAUGGAGAGUGGCUAGGAAAGCCAUCCCAGUCAGCGAGAAUCUAGCUAGUAGAGGCAUCACGCCGUUCUGUUGCAAAUCAUGCGGUGGGAUAGAAGAUGAUCUCCAUUUGUUCCUCCACUGUCCUAUCGCCACCGAGGUAUGGGGGUUAGCUCCAAUGGUUUCUACACCAUCCCCCUUAACUCUGUCAAUCAAGACCAUGAUAUCUGAAGCUUUGCAUUUUAUUAACCUUCCCCCGUCUGGUGUUGUUAUACCAUUAUGGCCUUGGGUCCUAUGGAGCCUAUGGAAGGCCCGCAAUAAGCGAUGCUUUGAGGACCGUAUCUACUCCGCUGCAGAGAUUGUAUCCAAGGCCCUCUCUGAUGCGAAGGAAUGGCAAGAAUCGCUAGCUCCCGCUGCGGCAGCUAUCCCACGAGAUCACAAUCACAUCACACCUCACCCACCUUUACGUGCUAAUACGUCUGGUCCUAUUUGUUAUGUUGAUGCAGCAUGGGAUGCCCGCUCUGGUAUGUGCGGGCUAGGAGGUAUCUUCUCUGGUUCCCCCACCCUGACUCGUCUUCCACGGAUCUCCGUCACCCGGAUCCUAGUAUCAUCUGCGUUAAUGGCUGAGGCCCUCGCAAUUCGUCUGGCAGUUAUGACUGCUUCUUUUUCGAAUAUUAAAACCCUUGCGAUUAUGUCUGAUUCUCUCACUCUCAUCAACAUGCUGAAACAGAAGGAAUCAAGGCCGGCUCUGUAUGGGAUUUUGUUCGAUAUCUAUCACUUUAGUUCCUACUUUGAUGUAAUCUCUUUUCAUUUUAUUCCUCGUUUGCAAAACUCUGUUGCUGAUUCAGUUGCUAAGUUGGCUCUUGUCAGCUCCACUGUAUCAGGCUCCUUUAAUGGAGCGUAAACUUUAUCUAUGAAUGAAGUACUCUUUGAUCAUAAAAAAAAAAAAAGCGUCAGCAAUGACUUGGAUUCUCUUAAAGAUGUUCUUUUUAAUCGAAAAACUAGAGAGACAAGAACAGAGGAGUUUUGGAUAAGCUAGAAAAGCUAAAAGUGAUAGAGAAAGAGAGAUCAAAUGGCGAAGAAAGAAGAGAGUGUGAAGCUUCUAGGGUUUUGGAUAAGCCCUUUCAGUCGUAGACAAUAUCAUCAAAUAAAUUUCAACAAAUAAAAAAUUUUAAAAUAAAAAUUAUAUACAUAAAAUUAAUAUUAAAUAUAUUUCUUUAUAACAUAUUUUAUAUUUUAAAAGUUAAUUUAAAUAUAUAAAUAUAUCCGCACAGAUGCGCGGGUUAAUAUCUAGUUAAUAUUAUUUUUAACAAAAACAUAUUGCAUCAAUAUCUGAUUUCUUUUUCGGGAAAUUUGUUGUUCUCUUGGAUUUUUUGUCGUACGUUGGCUCUCUCUCAUUGGCUAGUGAUCUCUUUUAGAUUGUGUUUGUCUCUCUUUUGAUGUAAAUAUCAACGAACGACGUGGUGUGAAAUAUGUGAUAGAACACUUCACACCUAAUCCAACAUCCAAACGAUAACUACCAGUCUACCGUAAACUUUUAUGUUACACAUAUUUAGAUAACUAGCGCAUUUAGAUAUCAACUGUUAGGUGAAGCUGAAACACCUUUAGGGAUAUGAUCCGGGAAGAUUGAACAAACCUUGGGUUACAUAAUUCCAUUUGGGGUCAUCAGAGAUCCACAGUAUGUUGGGAGUUCUGUGACAGUCGUCCCACAGAUCUAGAAUACCCUGCAUAGCUGUGAGCCUAGGUCCGCGGGAAGAAUUGUCACAUAAUAUCAUGUUUCUCUUGGGUUCCAUUCCAAUACAAAUAACUAUAAAAAAUGCUCAAGUUAUUUUUUUAUAUCACUUAGUUAUCAUGUCUCACUCAAAUAACUAAUCUUCAUCUGGUGUCUUGGUUACGUUUUCAUGAUGCUAGUCGAGUCAAAGGAAGAUCCAAAUGCUCGUGCUAAAUCCGUCUCCUGAUUUCUUGUCUCAUACCCUACCAGUCAAUUAUAGAGCUCAACUCCCAUGAAAAAAAUCAGGUCACUUUAGUACCACAUAUCUUCUUGUUUGAUACUUUUGAUUCUCAGCUUGUGUUAUUUUUUGAUACCCAAGUUGACUAGAGUUUAUAUACAUAAUUCAAAAUAGUAACUAUUCUCUAUUGAAUCAUGGGCUUCUUCCAAUUCCAAUCCAUUUGAUACUGGGCUUCGUUGACGAUGUUGAGCUAAUUCUGAUUAAGAAACUGGGCUAUGACAUAACUUUUGGUUACCUUUAUUAGGAGUAUACUUGCCAGUUUUUCCAUUUUUGAGGUAACAAUUAUACAUUUGUAUUUUUUUAGUUUGUGGUCCAACUGAAUUGUUAAACUUUUAUUCAAAGAUUUCGUUUAUUUAUAGUGUUAGGAAAAUGUAUCAUCCAUUUAGCUAUCUAACAAAAUAUAAGAUGUUCAAAAAAAAAUAAUUAAACGAUAAUUAACGUUAGUAAUAAACCAAAACUAUAGGGGAAAUACCGUGAUAAAUAAAACAAGAAGAUUAAAUAUGUAAUAAAGAAAACCUCAACUGCCUCCCGGCGAUUAGAUUCCUUAUGCGAGUAUUCUUUUGGACCGUAUACAAUAAGAAUUUUGUCAGUGGACUAACUAAAACUUUUGUCUUAGCAUAAACUAAUACACUACAAGACAAAAACAUUCCUUCUGAUUAGUAGUAGUCAUUAAGCAAUAAAUUACUUUGAUUAAGGUGUAUAGAUCUCAAACCGGGUUAAAAUGAAAGAGACCCGCUCAAUCCGGGUCGGGUCCAACUCCUAACAAGAAAAGGAGCGGAGGAACCAAACCAUGACGUGUAGAACAAUGACUGGCUAACGACUCUUCCUUGCUACUCUUCCUUCAAAAUCGAUUCUUGACGUUCUGGAUCGGAAAAGUCAUCUCCUCCGAAGUCAAAAAAGCGUUAUUUUCUCGUCUCUGUUGCAAAGAUUUUCUCUUUUUCACUUUCUCUGAUAAGUAAAACCUUAACUCACUCCCGUGAUCUUCUCCAGUGAGUGAGCAACUUGAUUAUUUCUCUACAACAUUUUCUUAAAACAAUGUGUUGUAAAUGCAGCUAGGGUUUCUCGGAAUCGGUGCGUAUCUCUUUGAAUUGGGUUUAAGGGCUUUUGGGAAAUCGCAAUCCUUCUCAGUCGUGAUCGAAAAGUCGGAGACUUUAGGACUAUGUCGGCCUCCGACCGAGAGUUCCGGUCAGUUCUUGUUCCCGCCGGUAACAAGCUGCAGCAGAAACCGUUGUCAAAGCCGGUGAAGAAGACUGAUAAAUCGAAAGACCUAACCUUUACGGCGUCUCCGGCGAAGAAGAGUUCGUCUCCUCUGAGCCCUUCGAUCCUGAGGAGGAACGGUGUCUCCAUGAACGCAUCGUACUCUUCGGAGGCGUCGUCUUCGUGCGAGUCGUCUCCGUUGAGUAUGGCGUCUGCUUCGAGCGGGAAGAGGCGUAGUGGGUCGAACUCUUCAAGCACACUGAGAAGGAAUAUGACGGAGGAGAGAGAUGAUUGCUUCUCUGAUGGUCGUAGAAGAUGCGCUUGGAUCACUCCCAAAUCUGGUAUUAAUCCUCUCUUUUCUAUCUUUCUUAUAAUAGCAAUUAUAUUAGUUAGUGUCCUCCUUAUGAUUCUGAGCUUGACUUAGUUUAGAACAUUUGUUAUUGAGUUUGGAAGUUAGUGUCUGAAUCUAUUGAACAACGACCACAUAAAUAGGAUUAGUUUCUUUUGUCAUUUCUCUACACUCAUGGGCUUAUAGGCCUUUAUAACUUUUAUCUCGCCUUGAAUCGUUUUCUCUGCUAUGACUUGACCGAUGAUGUUGUUUGUUACAUGUUAAUAGACCAAUGUUACAUUGCUUUCCACGAUGAAGAGUGGGGAGUCCCUGUCCAUGAUGACAGGUACGUGAUCUUCUCUCUCUCUCUCUCUCUUUUGCUUUUGCCCUGAGAGAAUGCUCUUUGUGGAUUGAUUACAAACGCUCUUACCCGUUAAAUCCUGUUUGCAGGAAACUGUUCGAGUUGUUAAGCCUCUCUGGUGCUCUCGCGGAACUCUCCUGGAAAGACAUUCUUUCCAAAAGACACUUAUUCAGGUAAACUAUAACCAUAGUCUUAUGGUAACAUCUUCUUCUUAUGAGCUUGAAUCUCAAAAUGCUUUCGUCUUGUUUAAAACAGGCAAGUAUUCUUGGACUUCGAUCCAAUUGCCAUAUCUGAACUAACUAACAAAAAGAUAACAUCCCCUGAGAUUGCUACCACCUCAUUACUAUCAGAGCAAAAGCUACGCUCAAUCCUCGAGAAUGCAAACCAAGUUCGCAAGGUACUUUAAUGUUUUCUUAUAAACUACCUGAUCAUAGCUUUUGUGUAUAUUAACUUUUUUUUUUUUUUACUGGUAUUGGUUUUUCUACAAUCCAGAUAAUAGUUGAGUUUGGAUCAUUUGACAAGUACAUUUGGAACUUCGUUAACCUGAAGCCUACUCAGAGCCAGUUCCGGUACCCACGCCAAGUUCCCGUGAAGACUUCCAAAGCCGAGCUGAUAAGCAAAGACCUUGUCCGCAGAGGCUUCCGCAGUGUUAGUCCUACGGUUAUCUACUCCUUCAUGCAAACAGCCGGUCUCACUAACGACCAUCUCACUAGCUGCUUCAGACACCAAGAAUGCAUUUCCAAGGACGAGACCAGUUAGUAAAGGAAACCCAAUAAUUUCUAAGAGAGAGAGAGAGGAUAGAUUAACACUUUGAUGCUUAGUUUGUUAUUGUGUGUUAUGUGUUUGUAUUUGUACAGAUGUUUUUGUUGUCAAAACUAGAUGAAGUUGCUAAGCUGAAUUUAUUGGAGAUGAUUGCAUUGAAACGAUUACAUGUUAAGCAAUGGAUAUAUAAUCUACUUUCUCUCAUAUGCCAAACUCAAAUCUAAAAACACUAAUAGAAUUUGAAACUAAGCUAUUUCUCGGUUUGAUUCUUUUGGUAUAGUCUCCCGGUAACAGCUGCUGCUAAUGCUGCUGUGAAGUUAGGAUCUCUUGUUAAGGAAGAAGCCAUUUGCUCCACCAAAAGCUUCUGUACUUCUGGAAAUUCGAUUCUUGAUGGGCUCCUCACUUUCUUGGAUUCAGUCAAAUCAACAGGCUUAGCCAAGCUACAACUUCCAUUGGCUGCAGCAGCUGGUGCAACCGGACCACCAAGAGAAACGUAACGGUUUAAGCCAUUGUUUGAAUCCAUCUGUGAUGGCAUUGGAUGGUUAUGUUCACCCUCAUAAGUAGCUACCAACACGGACUGAUCCUCCACACUUCUCUGAACCUGAACAACAUAACCAACAAUUAAUUUUAAGAUGCAGGCUUAAUUUAAGCAACGGUGCUAUCUUCUUCAUUAUUGUCUUAAUAGUAGUAAGUACCUUCUUUUUGACAGAACAGCUAGGAGCACAAGCACAUUUGAAGUAAGCUCUUGGAGAGGGAUUGUCUCUAGUAACUUUUUGUCCAUAUUUCCUCCAUUGAUACCCAUCUUUCACAACCUAUAAGCAACACAAACUUCUAAAAUUAGUAAACCAUAUAAACAAAAAGUUUCUAUAAAUAUAUAUAUACCAUAGUUACUAGUUUUCAUUAAAAAGCUUACAAGGGUGGUGUCAGAAGCUUCGGUCUUGUAAUAAACCCUUGAGACUUUCUCCUUCACAACAGUCUCUUCUCUCUGCUUCUUACACAGAUACUGAUCAUCUUGAUCCGUAGAGCUGCUCUCCGAUACUCCACCAAUAACCGCUGAACUAACUGCUUCAUCUCUCGCUGGAGAUUUGCGUUUCUUGGGAGGACUGGUUUGCUCUCUCUCGGCCGUGUUGUUGCUCUUGUUAACAUAUUCCAUCAGCUGUUUCCUUACGACGUUGUAGUUGUCACACAUCAAAGUUAGCAUCUCCGAGAGCUUCUUGUUCUCAGCGUUCACUCUUUUUAAUUCGUCCACCAAUGCAUUUGUCUGUAUAUUAAUCAUUUAUAUAUAUCGCAUGAAGUUAGUAACAAGAUAUGCAUAAAUUAAAAAAAAAAAAAAAAGAUAUGCAUAAAUAUAUCAUAACUUUAUACAACCUAUAAUCUGCUGUCACUAUUAAAUUUGAAGAACUCAACACAUGAAUUAGUAGCAAGCCUUUAUUUUGUUAAAAUACAAGCAGUUUUUAUGAACUUUAUAAAUAAAUAUAGCAAGUAUAUCUAAAUAAUUUGUAUGAAUACAUACAUAUAUAUAUAUAUAUAUAUAUAUAUAUUAACAUAUGAAAAUCUGUAUAUAUUUGUGAUCGUAGAUGAAAAAUAUAUAUACAUGUGUUCAAAUAUAGUGAUGAAAUACUAAUUAAAAAGUUCCAUAGAGAUAUGUGUUAAUGAAUUUUUCUAGAAGAUGUAAAGGAUCAAGAAUAGGAGAGAAGCAUACCGUGGAAUCUUCUUCAACUCGCAUACGAGUAAUACCGAUAGUGAGAUCUAAAGAAGUAUCGACCAAAGACGAUGAGUACUGGUCCAUGGAUGUAUAAAUAUGAAGAAUCUUCUUGGAUCUUGAUUCUUGAGAGUAUGUACGUAUAUGCGCGUGGGAGUUCUGUAAGCUGAGAGAUUCGUAGUAAGAGUCGAUCUUAUUGGGUUCUUGAUCUGGGAUGGUGGAAGAAGGAAUGAUUUUUGAUUCUAUAUAUAAAGGGAGGAAACAAGGUGGAAGGAGAGAGCAACAUGUGCUCUUUUCAUUUUCAUGCAAUAAACUAUAUGGUCUUAUCAUAUUCCACCUCUUACUUUUAGUCGUUAAGACUCUCAACUCGUCUUCUCUCGGGUCCACCCACACUCGCACACGUAUUUGGUCCAUUAAUCCAUAUUACCACUGGACCAUUUCUGUACUAUUGUAGUAGGGUACGUUCUUGAUUUUAUUUUUUUAAUACUGUUGGUUGACUUUCUUUUUUAUCAAUGCCGACAUUUGGCAUAGUGGGACAACAUAUUUAUGUCGAGUCCCAUAUUUUUUAAAGGUAGUAGAUAUAGAUUAUUUAUUUGUUUUCCAAAAAAAAAAGAUAGAUUAUUUGGUUUUUAUUUUUUCAUAACAAUGUUGUAACCGAUUCUACUCUCCCUAAAACCAUAGUAGGAGAACUCAAACUGUAGUGAUCUCUUAACCCGGAUGAUAAAUAUUUAAACAAUUAAACCACCAUAUAUUAGUUCGUUACCUAUUCUUUUGUAAGAUUUUUUUUCCGUGAACAAUAAAUACAUUAAAAUAUUGAAUAUAUACUUUAUAUAUAGAACUCAAACUUACUCUAUAUUCUUUUGGAAAACAGGGAUUGACUUCUUUUAUUGGUUAGUUGGUUUACCAUACAACAAAUAUACGCUAUUUUAAAUCCAGAGUUUGUGGUCAUUUCGAUUGUUUAUGAACUGAACAUACAAAUGAUGAUGCUUAAUCAUUUGGGCAUCAACCAAAUAUAAAUAAAGAAAUCAUUACCUGGCCUAGUCGUUAAGCAAGCAUACAUAUACUAACAUAGUAACAUGAGACCUAAACAUCAGACAAUAAUUAUAAUGCCGUUUUAUAUACCUAUAUACAUAAAAUAUGAUUAUGAACGGCAUGUGCGAUAAUAUAAAUAUAUAGUAUAAGUUUAUAAUAAUGAAAUGUAGUAAAGGGCGUGUUUAAUUAGAAAGUUUUAUAUUCUGUUUUCAGAAAUGAUUACUUGUGGUUGACAAAAAAAUAUAAUCGGUACAAUGUGGUAUAGGUAAUAUAGUAUAUAGAGUGUGCCGAACGUGGUUUAUAUGUUUUUAACGCGAGUCAUUAGUAAUUUAAUUAUUUAUUUAUGUAAACCUGUUUCUUGUUAAGUUGUUCGGUCAAAGUCAAGCCGACACGGCUUUUCAAAAACAAUUGGACAAGUGACGAUACUAAUAGAUGACGCACUUUAUCAAAUCUUAGUUUCCUUCUUCCUACUUUUCAUUUUUAAGAACCAAUUAGAUUUGUUGAUUAAAAAAAAGAACCCAAUUAGAUUUACUACUACUAUAAAUUAAUUACACUCAAGAGACUUUAACAAUUAUAUAUGCUGUUUAGUCAAGCCUACUCGGCGUUUCAAAAACUACUGGGACGAUUGACAAUUUUGGAUGACUUGAUCUCUUUUUCAUUUUUUUUUUCAUUUGUUUUACCAUUCAAGAAUCUAAAAGAAAUCAUAUGUUUAACCGAAUAAUUUAUGCUAAGAUUAGAGAUCAGAUCACCAAAAGACAUAAUUUGACCUCAUGCAUAUCCACUAUCCGAAAAGAUACUUGACUGAGCUAGAGAUGGAAUAACCAUAUGCCGAUCAUUUUGGACUUUAUCAUGCAUUAUACUAUAUAUAUACUUCACUCCUUUCACAUCCCAUUCCACGUACAAAUUAAUGUUAUUUAGAUAGAUGAUAUUAAAUAUCCUAUUAAUUAUUACAAUCAUAUAAAAAAUCUUACGCAUCGUAGAAAAGCUUAUUUUGAAAAUUCAAGCCAUUUUUAAUCAGUUGAUGAAAUCUUGUUGUAUAACCUAUAAAUCCUAUAAAAUAUACUCGAAUUACAAUUUACAAACUUACAAUCAUAACAGAUCACGUUUUACUGGUUAUAUUCGUAGCAGUUACUGUAAUCAAACUGUUCAAAAGAUGGAUCCCCAUUGACGAAUGUCGUAAAGGAAAAGUAUGGCUGCUAAUAGUUUCUUUAUUAAGAAAAAAUCGAACUAGGUUGGUUCUUAUUCUUACAGCACUCAACGAACAAUUUAGUCAUAAAUCAGAUAAUUGUUUAGUUUGCAAAAAAGAAAAAAAACCUCAUAUAGCAUGAAAUUAUUUAUAAUCAAGGACUAAAUUCAUUUUGAAUGACUUAUAAGCUAGUUAGAUGCCAAUACGCCAUGCACACGUUCACUAUAUUUAUGUUUUGGUCAAACACUAUACAUGCAUAAAUAUUUGAGAAUGGAUUAUAGAGUGCCCGUGUAAAAAAAGGAUUAUAGGGUGUCCAAGAAAAAGAUCUGACCGACCAAAAAUUAAACGAAUUUGUAGUGGAAAAAUAAUAAAAUAUAGGUCGGUGAUGGGAUAUAUUGGACGUCACUGAUGAUGAUGAAGUUAGGAAAAUGAAAAUACAAGUGGACAAAAAAUCAACCAAAAAGCAAAACUAUUCUCGUCCAGAAGACAGAACAGAAGCAGCCAAGUAACGAAAGCACAAUUCCUUUCCUUUCCAGUAUUUUGAAGACUUUGACCUCUUUGACCGUUGACUUCGAAACACCUUACACACGAGUGGUUUGGUUUAGAUCCAUUCCUUCCUUGUCAGUCUUCUUCAUCCUUUUAUUCAAACAAAUAGCCAUCCAGUUUUUUUAUUAAGAUUCAGAAAACAAAAGGCAUAGACCCAUACGUUUUAUUAAUUUUGGAAAAUGUCAUAUUCUGUUGACAAGAAAUUUAGAUGAAUACAUUGCAGAUAAUCUAGUUACAAAGUGUUGCAUGUCAAUAUGUCAUCUCCUUAUGUAUAAAAAUAUGUCUACGUUUUUGUUAGUCAAAAAUCUUAAGUAGACAUGGAUACCAAAACAUAGAAAUCUAGAUUAAUUUGUUUCAAUUUCUUCAAAAGUAUCGCCCCGAUACUAUAGCUAUAUUUCUGAAACCAAAGAAGUAAUGGAAUUGAAAGUUUGUUUUACAUUUUAAGAGGUUAAAGCUAUAAUGGCUUUCUUUUCCUUUGUGAUAUUAUUCUGUAUCUUGGACCUCUUGGUUAGUUAAGCAGUAGGUCCUCCAGAGAUGCAUUGAACUUAGCAAAAGGAACAAAAUGCCGUACAAUUCAAAGGUUCAUGAACUAAUAAAGGUCUAAAACAUGUGUUGGCUAUUAAAUAUAUUAAUAUGAUAUUCUUAAUUCCUCUUGCCUUUUUGGAAAUGGUCUUUUGGUUUUUGUCUCUAGUGCCCACGUUCACUUAAUAACACGACCAAGUAUGAAAAAACAAAGACUAAUCCCAAAUGCUAGAGUCUUUUUUUUUUCCGUCAAGGUUUUUUUUUUAUUAAUAAAAACAUAAACAAAGGGCCCGAGCCCAACAAACUGGUCUAAAGCCCAGAAACAUAUCACAAUACAUAAGCCCACAAAACCGACGGGCAUGGAUUAAAAAACUAAACGGGCCUGCAGCCCACACCACUCUACUCGAACUAGACGGCCCAGACUUCUCCUUAUGAGCCACGCGUCAAGGAGGCGGGACGCGUGUUGAAAUCUCAUAUUCAGCACGCCACGCGUCGACCAUCGCCUCAACCCGACCGUGACCCAAGCGAGAAGCCGCCUGAACACCGCCACCGGAACCCUCGUAACGGCGAAGCUCGAAACCGGAGAGCCUCCACCGAAACCAACUUUUCUUCAGCUUUCCAAACUCUCUGUGGAGAGCCUCCUCGAUCUCUUCGAGAUCUCAUCCGUCUUACGCGAGCCGCGAGCCACAGAACUGACAAUCAAAACUCUCUACCCGAUCCAAAAAACAAACCACCACUUCUCACCACUUGAGCCGGCGACGCAAGGCUGUGUAAGUCUUCACCCCCCGGAGACAGAACCGACGAGGCGAUGCUGAAGAAGCCAUCCACCACCCGGAGACUUGAGCCGACGACGACGGAGUUUUAGUAACCCCCACCUCCCGGAGAAGAACUUCACAAAGCUUUCCCCACCACACGACCGCGCCUUCACUCCAGUCAACAAAAACACCGAUGAUGACGGUUCGCUCCUCGAGCUAGCUUCUCCGGAUGAACGUUAACCAGAGCUCGGACAAAGCAAAUCAGGGGAAGGGAGACGAUAGAACGACAAGGGAACGGACUGCUUUAAUCGGAAGAAAACCCGAGAGGUUCCGGCGACGGCACGCGCGCAGACGCGCCGACCGUUCACCGGAACCAGAUCUACUUUCUCUCUCUUCUCUCUCCUUGACCCCAAAUGCUAGUUUUCAAAAAAAAAAAAAAAAAUUAUAAAAGGGUUCGAAUUUGAAAAAGUAUAAUUCGAAAACAUAAAAAAAAAUUUACUUUUUUUUAUUUUUUAUUUUUAUUUUUUUAAAUAAUGAUUUAUUAUAUAUAUAUAUAACAAUGACAUAAUAGUCUUUUGCCACUUAAUGAAGAAGAUAUUUUAAAAAUGUUUUCUUAGUGAUGGUAAAAAUGAAAAGUGAUACCAUGAAAAUGGUAAACAUGUAAUUUCCUCCAGUUUUUUCAUAUAUUGAUAGAUGAAAAAGCUGCAUAAUACAUAACCCUUUAUAUAGUUUUAAUAUAUUUUAUUGAUUUAACCCUAAUCAUAGAAUUUUCCUAUUGAAAAACAAAGGUUCUAUAUAUAGAAACUUCAUCGCGUAUUUACUGCUACUUUAAACAACAUGGAACUGACUGUGACAUGAAUUCAAUGAAUGAUUCUUCAAAUAGUAUCCAUUACCGUAAAAGUGAAGCCAUCUCUUAUUAUAUUCUUAGCCAUCAGAGCAACAGUGUGUUUCCGUGAAUUACACGUUUUUCUUUGACAUCUAUUUUGUAUAUCAAUAUUUAGUUCGAUGGUUCGAAUUGGCUUCACGUCUCUUUUGUUUUCUUGAAAUAUAAAUUAUACUUUUCUUUAUGGUAGAUGGCCGACCAAAAAUGACUUAUCUAUGAAAUAAUAUUAAUACGGUUUCUAUUGAUUCCUGACGAGUUCGUGUCGGAGUCUUAUUGGCAAUUCAGUGCACGAAUGUGUCUCUAAAUAAGAUAAACCAAUGAAAUGUUAACCGUAUUUGCAUAUCAGAUUAUCAUUUCCCCUGCCAAUUAUGUAGUAAUUAGAUUAUAAACUUUGAAUAAUCUAUGAUAGCAUGUUUGAGUUAUUCAUGUUACAUUAUUCAAAUAAAUUUCUUCUUUCAGUUCUGUAACAAAUACUCCCUAUGUAUUUGAAAUAUUAAUAUUUUAAAUUUUUCAUACAUAUUAAUAAAAAAUAAAUACAUAUUUUUAUAUAUUGACUUUUAGUUUUGUUUUUAAAUUUUGUUUUCUUCCCAAUAAAAUUAUGCCACAAUUUUAGAAUUACAUUUAUAUUUUAGUUUUCAAGUAAAAUGUAACAACUAAAGUCUAAAACAUCAAUUUUCAAAUACAAUUUUUUUUUUUUAAAAAAAAAAAUUGUAUAAACUUGAUGUCCAAAUUUUCUUAAUUUUUUUUAUUGAUGAUGCCAAUAACAAUAGAAAAGAGACAUGAUUGUUGAUUACAGAACAAGAUAAAGCCAAUCAAUUGCAAUAUUACAUUGUUUUAUUCUUGUUUUUGGUAUGAACCUUUUAAAAGAGGAUUCCAAGAAACAAAUUGUGCUUCUCUCAAUGAUAAUAUCACCAAUUCACUGAAAAAGUAACAGAGCAAACAAUGUAUAGACAAUUCAUUAAUUAUACAAAUUGUAGCAAUCUUCUCAUCAGAUUAGAAGUCAGUUGCUUCAUAACCAUAUUCUCCAACUUGGAAACCUAUGUUUAGAACUUUCAUAGUCACAAUGUAAAACUCUUGUGUCACAUUAACAAAAAGUGUCAAAACAACAAAAUGAAAUGGAUGCUUAGCAUCAGGUGACUAAUAGAACUAUCAAUGGAUACCAAGCUUUCACAAGACAAACACGCAAUCAAACAAACUGUAUAUAGACACUUUUUUUUUUUUUGAAUUGAAUGUUAAAUUUAAUUAAAAAAAAAAUAGACUGUUCUUUACAUCAAUUGUAACUUAUUUUCAUCAUAUUAUAAAAUAAAAGAUCUGUUUCCCUAACUUCUUUACUCCUCCUCAAUUAUGUCUGGUAUCAAACCAGUAAACCAUCGGUUCUGCUAACUCCUUAUUAUCUUUCCUCUGUAAAAUGGUGAUAUCCUGUUCCUCAUAUUUUUGUCAAUCGGUUUUAUCAAAAGAGACACAGAAUUAUCACAAGACAAACACGCAAUCAAUAACAUUGGCUUCCUACUGACCCCCCGCGACCUGCAACUAAUUGUUUCUCUCGUGAUCCUAUAUUUGUCAAGGAGCUUAUCACCAGUGAUGGUAACCAUAGACACUGGAAUGGUGAAGCCUUAGCUAAUUUCUUAAAUGCUGAGGAUAGAGCCAUAGUAAACCAAAUCUUCUUGGCAAAGGAAGUUGAACCUGAUAAGGUUGUUUGGUCAGUUUCUCGUAAUGGCUUAAAGCUAGGCAGGAUUUGGCUACGUACAGAGAUUAAUGGACAGCGGUUUAUUCAAGCAUAAAAAAAAACGGACACCGGUAUGGUCAAGACCUCCCGACGGCUUUGUUAAAUGUAAUGUCGAUGCUUCUUUUGAUCCAAAUACGAAAAGAGUGAAAUGUGGAUGGAUUGUACGUGACGCUAAUGGAGUAGCACGAUAUUGAGGUUCGGCUUGGUUAGGAGAUGCAUGCGCACUGUUUUGGACAUCUUCAAGUAGAAUCAACAGAGUAUCGUCUUCGUAAUGUUAGUCGUGAUAUUCUUAUGGCUGCUUUGACUUUCAAGAAACGGAAGUUUGUUUAUACACCUCGUCAGGCAAAUAUUCCAGCUCACCGAUUGGCACAGAAAGUACCUCCUACAUCAUAUUUUUAUUCAUCGUGUUUAAAUCCUCCGUACUGGCUAUCUUGUAGUUUCACAAAGACUAUAUAUGUACUGUCAAGUUAAUAAAUUCUCUCCAAUAGUUAUAUUUUGUCGAAAAAAAACAAGAUUCGUAAUAUUAAAAAUUAAUUAAAAAAAUUGUUAUUUAGUUAAGGGUUAGUUAGAGUUCAACCGUAAAAGAAGGGAGCGUUGAGUUACGUAGGUUUUAGUUAGGGAAAAGUGUGUUGGGAAAGGAGAAAAGUGUGUUUGGCGUGUGCUAUAGUGUUCUUGUAAGUGUAAAACUACCAUAUUACGUAAAUCUUUCUUAAUGAAUCCACGAUUUUGUUUGUGAUUAAAAAGAAAAAAUCCACCAUAAAAUCUCCUUAAAGCUCGCCUCAGGUUUACCUCUAUAUAUACGUAGUUUGCUCACUUUCUUUUAUCAAUACUCAAAAUCAUUCACAAAGAAAUUACUUAGUAAGAGAGAUGGCUAUGGCGGAUGCUUCUGGACCUCAAUUGAUUUCUACCACCGGCGAUGCUGAUUCUGAUCAAAUUAUUGUCCCUGAGGUUUGUUGUUUAAUUUUCAUUUAUCUAAUCCCAAGAUUUGGCUCAAAAACCCUAGAAUAUCAUUUUUUUUUUCUGAAAAACCCUAAAAUAUCAUGAUGCCGACAAUCACCAAGUCUAUAGAUUUGGCUCAAACCCCCUUAAACAUAUGUUUUUGUUUUGUUUUUAAUCUUAAGAAAACUCUGUCGCUUGAUUCGUAAUAUUACUAAUUCCAUAAAAUGAAGAAAUCGCUAUCAUAGUCAAUAACAUGCAGAUAUAAUCUCAUACUCUAAUGUUGCCUCACAUAAGCAACAUGCUAUCUCAUGGGAGCCGACUGGCAUCGUUUAUUUCUGUCUCACAUUAUUUCAUUUGCCUUUUGUAGUAGCUGUUUAUUGGGUUCUGUGAACCUAUGUCUCUGAGUUUUCGGAGAACAAUGUUACUUUCAGUGUUAUAAUUAGAAAAAAAAAUAUAAGCAAAAUGACAGAUGACGUUUGUUUGAUCUAUAAUCACCAAGUUUAUAGAUUUGGCCCAAACCCCUCGUAAACAUAUGUUUUUAUUUUGUUUUUUUAAUCUUAACAAAACUCACAUGUAUUCGCUUAAUUUAUUACUAAUUAACUGAACUAGUCAAAAUCCAAUAAAUGUCCAUAAAAUGAAGAAAUCGCUGUCAUAGUCAAUAGAACAGACUUGAAAACAUGCAGAUAAUCUUGAUUUUGUACUUCUUAGAUAUAAGAAAAUGACAGAAUACGUUUGUUUGAUCAAUAAUUUUGUUUGAUGUCUUUACAUAUAUAUGCAGAAUAAGAGCUGGAAGAAUUUCUUUGCCUACUUAGGACCUGGUUUUCUUGUUUCAAUUGCAUAUAUUGAUCCUGGAAACUGUAAGAUCAUAAACCAGAUUCACUUUCCUAUAUCAUCUCCAUUAACUAUCAGUUGCUUAAUGCUUUUUUUUUAAUUAUUCUUCAUGUGUUUUGCAGUUGAGACUGAUCUACAAGCAGGAGCACAAUACAAGUAUGAGGUGCAUAAACUCUUCCCCUACUCACCUUAUUUUUUCGAUAAAAAAAAAUAUUGAUUUCUUUGUAAUAAACAGUUACUUUGGAUCAUAUUGGUGGCUUCUUGUGCGGGUUUGGUGAUUCAAUCUCUGGCUGCCAAUCUUGGUGUUGUCACAGGUUAUGUUACUCUUUGGUUAUAAGUUUUUAUACAUCAACUUUGCUGAAUUUAUUUUGGUUAUAUCAUCACAGGAAAACAUUUAGCUGAGCAUUGUAGAGCUGAAUACUCCAAAGUUCCGAACUUUUUGUUAUGGGUUGUUGCUGAAAUUGCAAUAGUCGCUUGUGACAUUCCAGAAGGUACCAAAUUUUCUAUACUCUUACUUUGUUUCUAUAAUUUCUCUGUUAGUGCUAAUCAUACUUGGUUUACUUUUUUAUAUAGUAAUCGGAACAGCUUUUGCUCUGAACAUGCUCUUUAGCAUACCCAUAUGGAUUGGUGUUCUUCUUACAGGCUUAAGUACACUGAUGCUUCUCGCACUUCAACAAUACGGGGUAUUCAUUUCUUUGAUCAUUUCCAUGUCACGGUGCUAUGUAUAGUCAAAAGUCAUAUGAUGUUUUGUCAUUCACAGGUAAGAAAGCUGGAGUUCUUGGUUGCAUUUCUUGUGUUCACAAUAGCUAUAUGCUUCGUCAUUGAGCUACACUACUCAAAGCCAGACGCAGGAGAAGUCCUACAUGGUCUCUUUGUUCCACAACUCAAAGGAAAUGGUGCAACUGGUCUUGCAAUCUCUUUGCUUGGAGCUAUGGUUAUGCCGUAAGCUCACAGUUUCUUCACCAAUAUUCAUAAGAGAUUUUUUUUUCCUUAAUAAAAAUCUUAUGCGAUCAUUUCUUUUUCCACAGGCACAAUCUCUUCUUGCACUCUGCGUUGGUUCUCUCGAGGAAAAUCCCACGUUCAUCUACUGGCAUCAAAGAGGCUUGUAGGUUUUACUUGAUAGAAAGCGGACUGGCUCUAAUGGUGGCCUUUCUUAUAAACGUCUCUGUGAUAUCAGUAAGUGGUGCUGUUUGUAAUGCCUCGGAUUUAACCCCCGAAGACCGAGCUAAAUGUGAGGAUUUGGACUUAAACAAGGCUUCGUUUCUUCUACGGGUAACUUGCUUACUACGGCUUUUGUUUCUUUCUAUAAUGUUUCAGAACAUUAAAGCUUGUUUGUUUUCAAACAGAACGUUGUGGGUAAAUGGAGUUCAAAGCUAUUUGCCAUCGCACUUCUUGCUUCCGGACAGAGCUCAACUAUAACCGGAACAUAUGCUGGACAAUACAUCAUGCAAGGGUUUCUUGAUCUAAGACUUGUUCCAUGGCUCAGGAACUUCUUAACAAGAUGCUUAGCUAUUAUCCCGAGUCUAAUCGUUGCUCUCAUUGGUGGUUCAGCUGGAGCUGGAAAGUUAAUCAUCAUUGCCUCGGUAACACAAUCUUUCCCAUCUCUAGCUAGUCACAUCUAUAUAUUUAUAUGACUUUACCAUAAACAAAUCAAUUCAUUGGUUGAAUAAACUGUGAACAGAUGAUCUUAUCCUUUGAGCUGCCCUUUGCGUUAGUUCCUCUUCUCAAGUUCACUAGCUGCAAAAUCAAGAUGGGUUCACACGUAAACCAUAUGGCGGUAUGCAUAACUCAUUUUCACUGAACCAAAGAAAAAUGUUAUCAAUUAACUUCAUAUGUUUCCUUUUUAUCUCUAACAGAUUUCAGCUUUGACAUGGGUCAUUGGUGGUUUAAUCAUGGGGAUAAAUAUAUACUAUAUAGUAAGCAGUUUCACUAAAUUGCUUAUACAUAGCCACAUGAAGCAUGUCCUUGUCGUCUUUUGUGGAAUUCUUGGGUUCACAGGCAUUGCCAUCUACUUAGCCUCCAUAGCUUAUCUUGUCUUUCGAAAAAACGGAGAAGCUGGUCCUCUUCUUGCUUCGACUAAUUCACAAACUGUGGAGACACUUCCAAGACAAGACAUUGUCGACAUGCAGUUUGGUAAAGCGUCUACAUCCAAUGCUGAUUGAAUCUUAUUCAAUCAUAUCAGUACUAGGACUCAAAUGAAUACCUUUCGAUAGUGGUUCUUAGAUUUUAUAAGAAUUCUUUUUUUUUUCUAGUAGGUCUUAUGUAAGGAACAACGUUACAAUGACAUCGGAUAAUAAAAUCAUUGUUUCCACUAUCAUAUCAUACAUUAUACAUACGAGUGACAUUCUCAAUUACGAAAAGAAGAGAGCAUUCAGCUAUAUAUAAUUUUAUAUAUGCUUCAAGAUUAAACAAAUAUAACUUAGUAAAAUCAAACGUACGUAUUUUAUAUAUGUGGGUAUGAUCAGAGAUGAUGGUCGUAUCGUGUUCUAGGAUUCGAUUGUGACGUUGUCUUGGUUGGAAUAUUGAGGAAGAGGAAGAUGACCUUUCUCUUGCAAGCUCUUGACAGAAUCGUAGAGAGAUUGCUUGAUGGGUGUAAACUCCAACCCUAAGUCUUUUAUCUUCUGAGUAGUGAACUUGUAUGGCUUUGCCCUUGGAUUCUUAUCGUCCGAACACCUACAAAUAUUAUAAUAAGCACACUAUAUGUUAAUAACAUAACCUGGAAAUGGCUUCUUGUAUAUGUAACGUAUCAACUAUUGAACUAGCCAAAAGAGACACAAGUCAUGAAACUAGUGACCAAACUAUGGAGUAGGUGAAGAAAGAACAUAUACUGUUAACACUGUAGUUCUUUUGUCAAAUGAAGUUGGACCAGUAACAAGACUACACCAUUUUUAGUAUAAAUCCAAAGAAAAACAAACAUAAACACGUGUACAUAUAGGAUUUUGUAAGAUCUCAGCGUAAGCAGUAGGUGAAACAUGAUGUGGACCUUGUGAUGUGAAGUUAGUACAUACCAAUUUUGAUAUAUGGGACAAAUAGUAACACAUUUCAAUACCAACUACCACUCAUGUCCCUUUUAUCCUAACUAAUUUAUUGAUUUGUUGAAAAAAAGAGGAUAAUCUUGAUUAGAUUGUUUCGAGUAUCAAAAAUCAAACUCAAAUAGUUUGUAAAAUCCAAGGUUGUAUUUUACUAGACCCACAAGAUCGUGUUGACUUUAAUAUAAUUUUGACCAAAGAGUUAAAAAGGUCAAACGUGGACUUACUUGGUGGGAAGUGGAUACUCCGGGAAGAAUUUAGCAAGAAUCUCGACAACCUCGCCGCGGUGAAGCGCGGUCUCGGCGAGGAUGUAACGGCCUGAGGCAGAGGAUGAUUCGUAGACCAUAACAUGGCCUAGUGCCACAUCACGGACGUCCACGUAGACCUGAGUAAGGUUAGCAUAGGUCUUGGCUGAGCCGGUGAGAUACUUGAGAAUAUGGACUAGGCUAGCGUUGACCGCUGACUGGAGCGGUGGUCCAAGAACUAGAACCGGGUUUAGCACCACCAAGUCCACACCUUUAGCCUUCGCCGUCUCCCAUGCUGAUUGUUCCGCCACCAUCUUCCCAUAGCAAUACCAAUUCUACAAGGCACCGAUAAAAUAGGUCAGAAUUUGAGAAAUUAAGUUUUAAGGCUUGACAUGUGACCUUAUUACAGCCACAUGGUUACAUGUAUUUCGGUCGGUGGGUUUGAAUAAAACUCCAUGCAAAAAAUAUAUAGACCAAGAUAUAAAUAUAUAUAAUAUAUACCUUUGUGUUUUUGCAGAAAUCAAGAUCACUCCAACAAUCUUCGUUGACUAUGGUUUGAGGAUCACGGUUAGGGUUCAUGUAAACAGCACCGAUAGAUGACGUGAACACCACACGCUUCACCUUGGCUUUAGCCGCCGCGUCGAUCACGAACUUGGCUCCGUUCACCGCCGGUUCCAACAUUGUCUCCUAUGUAUUUACAUUAAUAAAUAAGAUUAAACCUAAUAAAACAGAGUAAUAUUAUGGAUUUAGGAAAAUUAAAUAUAGUUACUAACGGGGUCAUCGGUCAUCGGAGAAGCGGUGUGGAAAACGCCAUCGCAGCCAUCUAUUGCGGCACAUAGAGCUUCGUAGUCGAGAAGAUCAGCACUGUGAAGAGUGAGUCUUUCUUUGGCUCCAUCAAGCUCUCUGAGGUGGUUGUUCUUGGGAUCAGCUGGGUUCCGCACGGUUCCUCUAACGGUGUAGCCUCUCUCCAACAGUAACUUAACGAUCCAAGAAGCAAUGUAGCCACCGGCUCCAGUGACGCAAACAAGUUUCCCGUCGGCAGGCAUUUUUUUUCUGUUGGGUAAGAAUGUUUAAGGGGCCUAAGAGAGAGAUAGAAAUGUUAUAAGUUAUGAUGUGUCGUUUGGAGGAAGCGUUGUGGUUUGUAUUUAUAGAGACAUCAAAAGAAGUCACCGUUUCAUAAGUUACUACUUGGCUUUAUUUCACCUAACCAAGGUAAAGAGUUGGUGAAUGAAGAAGGAACUAUCGGGAAUCCUAUUUGAUUUGAUUUAUUUUAAGGACACUAGAGAAUAAGUGGAAUAGUUUCAAAGUUGUAGGUGAUAAGUGUAAAUGCAUUCCCAUAAAAGGUCAAACAAAAUCGUCAACCAAAGGUGUUGUGAAUCUGUCUUUUACUUGCCAAGUGGAAAGCCUUAUUUGGUUGGCUUUUAAAUUUUAGGAAAUUGCCAAAUAUAUUUGAAAACAACAAAAGAAAAUUUGUCAAAAUAUAUUUUAAAACAACAGAAGAAAAUUGCCAAUUACUCCAACUAUUAAGUUUUUUUUCUUUGGCAAUGGCAGCAUUCCCUUAAGUUAAUAAUCCAUGUAUAUGGAGUUCUAGAAGACUGAAGACCUUGAUAAUAAUAAGUUAGUAUAUUGUACGUACGUUCUUUAAAAUCUAUAUACAAAUCUAGGAGUUAUGCCUUGUCUUUUGUAGUUUGUUUCUUCUUGGUGUAUCAUUAUCCAUUAUCUUGGCUUAAACUUAUAAUCUUAUAUACCCUAAUUAAAAAAAAAAACAAGGGGUGGUGAGAGGUUGAGAAUAUUGACAUUGACAAUAUUGUACAUGAAUUAAUGUAACUUAAAAGCCAGGGGACCCAACCUGUUUACUAAUACGAAAGUUCCCCUGAGCAUAAGUCCGUAUUUUUCAACUAAUUAACCAAUUAAUUUGAUGUACUACGUGAAAAACAUUUACUAUAUAUAUCUUUUGUUAUAAAUAAAAGUAACAUCAUUCUUGACCAUUAGAUUGAUAUUGCUUUUUUGAUAGCAACUAUUUUAAAGAAAAGAAGACUGACAAAAGUAAGACUUUGCAAGCCAUCUUUGACAAAGUUAAUAUUUGGACAAGAUGAGUGUCUUAUUCAAACCGUGUCCUGUCCCAAGAUGGUUGAAUGUAAUUGAACACACAGAAAAUUUCCGAGCGGUUUCUCAAUCAUUUCGGAAUUGAAUCUCUCACGUGGAAAAUAACCUUAUAACCGAGUGACAAACGUGGCUCUUUAUCUACUAAACAACGAUUAUGCUUUCCUAAAAUACAAAUGUCACAAACUCUCAGAGACACAACACAGACCAGGUGACGUCAUAUCUCUCUAACAGGUUCAGUAAAAAUCUAGUAACAAAGAUAAAUAAAAGGAAAUAGAGAGUCUAAAGCAAAGCAAAUGGUUUUUGUUCACGACGCAUAAACUCCAAUUCAAGACCCUCUCUCUUCAUCAGAGUCUUUCUCGAUCUCGGAGAGGCUUGAGCUUUUUGGCACUUUAUCAUCAGCCUCAGCCUCUUCUCUCUCUUCUGCUUCGUCCUCCAUAUCAUCUGUUUCUCUCCACUUUGGCUCCUCUUCCGACUCUGAGCCGUCUCUCUCACUCUCAACCUCUGGAGUUUCAAACUGUUCCUCUUCUUCCUUAGCUUCUGUCUCAGUCCAUUUCAGGUUCUCUUCAUCUUCUUGCAUCUCACUGUUAUAAUACUCAUCUUCGCUUUCCUCGUCCACAUCUCGGCUCACUUCCUGCUCUGCUUCUCUUCUGCCAGUUUCAACAGCACUUAACUCUUUCAACGAUUUGACAUUCUUCCCUUCCCUUGCUGCCUUUUUGCCAGAAUCCUUCUUUGAUGAUGAUGAUUCCACGUUUUUGCUUUUCUUGACUUUCUGCCUCUGCAUUCUGCAACAAUCAUAACAUAAGAGGACUUGUACUUUUACAAACAGGAUCACAAUAAAUGAGAAGCUGACAGACACAUGAUCCGUGUUUACUCACAUGUCAAAUAAAGGAAUGGACUCUGGCAGAUCAAUCUCCAUAUCCUCCUCCUGCUAAUUGAUUUUGGGGGGAAAUCAUUAAAGCAUUUGCGAUUACGCAUUCACGCGAGAAACAAAGAAAGAAAGAAACACAGAUACCUCACUGGCAGAAGAGAGAUCCUCAAGUAGCUCCCAGCGUUCUUUAUAAAGAUAAAGCUCUUCUGAUUCUCCAUCAGUAUAUAAUACCUGCAAUCAAAUGUGAAUAAAUCCAUAAUUCUGACAGAGGAGCAACAGAGUUGAGUAGCAGAUAAUCAGAGAUUGUAUCUCACUCACCUGAUGCAUCUUCGUACGACCAGAAUAAGCCUGUAUGACGCCUUCAUAAAAACUGCACAGUGAAACACAAAUCAACGAUUUAAGCUACUACACUUUGGAAACAAGAACCUUUCAACUUUCAUAUGCACUUACGUCUUGUCCAGCGGCCACCAUAUAUUCACUCUCUUCCCGACCAAAUCCGCUCCAGACCCCUGAAAAGAGGAGUUACUAACAGAUAUGUGACAAUAAUAUAAAGGCUAAGGCGACAAAGCUUAAUUAUACCACUUCUUUUUUUGCUGUCCGGCUCCUCACUUGUUGGCUCUUUGAAGUCUCUUCAGAUUCUUCUGCCAAUGCUCUAGCUCCAACUUGAGAAACCUUCUUCUUCUGCAAUAUUUGAUCGAAACAUGAAAUUUCAACACAAAAGUUUUAUGAUAUAUCAUUAAUUAAAUAAGAGAACUAUAUGAUCAUCUACCUUGUCCUUUGAUGAUUGUGGAACAGGAGUAUCCGAAGAAGCACCUUCCAAGUUGUUUUUCUUAGCAGCUGUGCGAGCUGACGAUCUUUUUCCGCUGGAGCUCACAACUGGCUUCUUCUUCCCGCCCUUCUGGGACUUUGUCUUCUUCCUUGAUUCUCCAAUCUUUGUGUCAUCUUCUGGUAUUUCAUGAUUUGAUUCUUCCUCAAGAGUCUCUUCUUCGUCCCGGAAGCAUGAUGCCAACUUCUUCAAUUUGGGUGAAGAAGGAGAAUCUAAAUCAUGAUCAGUGUCCUCCAUCUUAACCCUGCUUCGUUUAACUGAACCCGUCAGCGCCCUACUAGUAGUGGCCGGGGAAGAUUCUUUAGCCGGAGGCGUUUUCUUUGCAGCCACCUUUUCAAGUGAUGAUUCUCCUCCUCCUCCUGAUGCUUUUCUCUGAAGCUUCUUGUUUGAUGAACAUGUCUUUAAAGAAUCUCUUUUCCCUGAAAGCCAAGGAAUGUCGUAACCUUCCUCAGGAUUCAUCAAUGAAUUGGGUUUCCUUCCUCUCUUCCCUGAGACUCCUACAUCUGUUUCUGCAUCUCUACUCUCAGACCACACUUGCUUUCCCUUUCUUGAUUUUUCAUCUAUCGCAGGUCUCUUGGAACCACUUUUAGAACGAGUCUCCUUGCGUGAAUGCCCCAAAACCAGUUUGUCCUACAUCAAGCGAAUUAGUUAAAAAAAUGCUGAAACUCUACGACGAACGAUAGAGCUCAGGGUAACAAGAAUACCUCAUUCUCUUUGGUGUCAACAACAUUGUGGACCUUGGGAGUUUCAAAAACAGUCUGGCAUAUGGUCGUAACUACUGGUGAAUAUGAAUCCAAGGUGGUCCCUGAAGACUUCAAAGCUUCCAUGAUGCAUGGUUUAAGCUUACGGGCACAUCUACUGAGAACCUUCUCAACAAGACUCCAAGCCAUUGGUGAAACAUUCUAAAACAUGAAGUGAAGACAAAUCAAAUCCAAAGUUUGUUGCCGGCUAAGAGAAUUAACUUGUAAGUAGGAAGAAACCUCACCUGAUUAUCCUUUUUGACACUAGCUAACAGAAUAUCGAGAAAGUCCCUUGACACUUCUUCGGUUUCAUCUAAUACUGUAAUCAUUAUCAUCUCCAUUGAAGAAAAAACCACUCGUGGAUGAUCAGAUCUAACAGAACACACAAACCAGUUAAGUAUAUGAUCUAAACAGUUUCUAGAAACUUAGGUUUUGUAUUAUCUAAUCUACCUUAUGAGUCUCAGGAACAUGCGAAACAUUUGUAGAAUGAGGUCAUCGCACUCUAGGUCCAGCAUGACCAAGCAAGAUUUGACCUUUGAUACAUUAUCAAGAACAGACUCGGCUUUCUGAUAGCUGCGAGAGGAUGCAUCAGCUAGCUUCUCAAAAGCUUCUAUCGUCAACCUGAAGACGUCCUGUGAUACAAAAUAAGCAAGACUUCAAAAGACCAUUACAGAGAAGUAAUUUAAUUUGUUUCUGUUUACCUUCAUCUGAUCAUCAGUGUAAGGAGCUUCUGGGGCAGUGAUCCUGACGAUUUCGGUUAAGCAGGAGACAACAGAAACCCUAACAUCAGAAUCAGGGUGGCUCAAGAGGUCACUUGAAACCAAAGCCUUCUUGGUGGGAAUCAGGGCGUUUUGCAUUGACAAGGGUUGAUCUUGCUCCACUUUUCUCAGCAGUGACUCAGUUUCCUACACACACGCACAUGAAGGAAUUGAAAAUUAGAGAUCCAGCAGUUCGCUGCUUCCACCAAAUUAACAAGUUCGAUAAUCCAAUAAAGGAGCAAACUUUCACCAAACAAUCCACUAAAAUUAUCAAUUCGAGAUUUCCUUAGCGGCAAGAAAGAGAAACCCUAAUCGCAUUUCGAAGAAUCUAACCUAACAAAAGACACGAUUUUGAUGGAAGGAAUCAAAGAGGAAGACGUACAUCGAGAAGAUUGAGAAGCUCGUCGGUUGAAGAAUGAGGGGUGAGAAGUCUGUUUCCAGCAUCGAUGAGUGCUUCAGCGAGAUGGUUCAAUCCAACAAUAGAAGCCAUAUUUGUUCUUCUUCUUCCCCCAGAAAUUCAAAACCCUAGAAAAUAAAACAGAACAUCAAACUGUGUCUUUAACCCGAAAACAGACAACCAAAACGUUUCCAGUUCGGUUUCCUCACGGUCUUGUAAGAAAAAAAAAAACUUGGUUCGAAUCAUUUUGUUUCAGACACAGAUUUCAUGUCCGUAUUAUCUCUCGUCACUUAUGAUCCUAAUUGUCAAAGUUCUACGAAUCUGUGAUGAUGCAGUUGCACACCAGUAUAUUCAACACAACCUCAUGUAAAAAAAAAGAACUUUUAAGGACUUUUUAUUUGAAUUUUUUUAUUAUUAUGAUAUUAGAGAGCAACCUGACCAUUUUCAACACCUAAUCCAUACAAAACACCAGCAUAUUUCUGCAAGGGACCAACGAAGAAAUUCUCCUUAAGCUUUCUGAAAGUACAAGACGUGAGCAAACUAUCCGACCCCGCCUGGUGACAUAUCCCAACUCUCUCCACCUCCAGCAACUCCGCCAGCUUGUUCAGCCCCCCGUGCAGGCUGUUGCAGAACUUCAUCAGGUGCUUUAUAUCAUACACCGUCGGGAAAUAAACAUUGAUCAGCUCAAAGAAGCUCGUCUGCGAAUCAGGCAGGUUCUGGCACGUGAGGAGCUUCAGCAAGUACCCGAAAUCGUACCCGCUGUGAAACGUGACCCAGUGCACGUUCCCGUUCAGCACGAUCCCGGAAGACAUCAGGAGCUCAGCGAAUCGCCUGGACUCGAUCCCUUCUCGAGUGUUCUUGGCGAAGUCGAUCCCUGACUGCUUGAGGAGGUCGAUGGAGUCGACGGCGAAGAUGUCGGAGUCGAGAUCGAACUCGCGGAAGUUGAACUGCCAGAUGCAGUAUUUGUUGUCGGUGCCGCAGGUGGGGAGGUUGCCCUGCUCGUUGGAGAAGGUGAGGCCGAGCUGGAUGAUGUUGAGGAUGUUGACGUUGAGCUUUAGGGUCUCGUAGUGGUAAUCGGCGUUGGAUUUGAAGGUUCCGACGGGGCGGACGACGAUUCCGGGGAACUCGGUGUCCAUGGCGACGUAGGGGAAGUCGUCGACGACUUCGCGGAUCAGAUCCAUUUCCUCCUGGAGGUUAUCGCUCCAGACUUCGCGGAUUUGGAUCGAAUCGUCUUUUAGAAACAGAGACAUGGAGAAGACGGUGGGUGGGAGAAUCUAGAGAAGAACCUAGAACGGAUCUAGAGGAAGACCCGAUCCGGUUUCAU
rnacentral:lncRNA from 1 species